rnacentral:lncRNA from 1 species
UUUUUUUUUUUUUUUCUGUUAUAGCAUGAUUAUAUGAAUGCAUGAAAAUUUUGGUGAAUUAAUUUUAACGAUUGGGAGCUCAAUUACGAAAAAUGACAAAAUUGCAUAAAGUGCGAAAGUUUUGUUCUACUAACUAAAGGUUUCAAAUAGCUAUGGAGCAUUAAAGUAGAGGUCCUUAUUGAGUAAAUAGACUAAUAAAAUGUUAGUGGCUGGACAUGGAGCCUUAAUUCAUGGGAUGGUCAAAGGGUAGGUGACUUAAUUGAUAAACAAAUAAUAAACCUAAAGGCUAGCUAUCAUCUUUUUCUCUUCUUCUCUUCUCCACCAAAAUUUUCAACAAGAAAGGGGUUUUGAAAGCUUGAAAAUUUCAGCCAUUAAGUUCUCUCAUAAGUAAGUGAUCUUAUGACUUUUCUUGAUAAUUUUUGUACUUUUGGGAGCCUUGUAGCAUAAGCUAUCUAAUGAGGGGACUAUUUUGCAAAAUGGUUGAGAGUCUAGGGUUUUUCCAUGAAAAAAUUUAUGUGGUUAGCUAAGAUUUUAUGGAAGAAAAUGAAUCGUGGUUGUUAAAUAAACAACUUUUGUGAAAGGGGUUUCAUGAAAACACCUAAAUGGGUUGUUUUGUAAAGCUUGUAAAAUUGGUGGUAAUUGUAUGAAAUGUUUGAAAUUUUGAGUUGCUAUAGGUAUAAAAAGAGUUCAUUUAUGCUUGGUUAAUGAGGAAACUCGAUAAAAAUUGAUUUUCGAGCCUAAGGGAAAAAUCGUAAUUUUUGUAAAGUAUAAGGGAAAAACGGUCAUUUUUCGGAUUGUGAAUUGUAGAAUAUUUUUAUUAAUCUGAUGAUGAAAUGAGUGAAAUUUUAUUAUUUUAGAUCAAGAAAUACGCAAUCCAGACAUAGACUGGGGAAAAGUCAAGCAAGCUGAUUAAAUACAAUUAAUCGCCUACAUUUUGUGUACCGAGGUAAGUUGUACGUAAAUAAUUUAAUUUAUUUGUAUUUAUGUAUUGUAUAAUUAAUAUGGCAUAAAUUGUGGGCUAUUGCUGUGAAUGUGCAUGAUGAGAAUUGAUGUAGUAGAGACUCCCGGUUGAACCUCAGGAAUAAUUUCGAUAUCAAUGCCAUGACAUUUGGGUGAUGUGUGUGUUAGUGUAAGACCUGUCUGGGACAUGGCAUCGGCCUCAUGAUAUGCAAACUAGUGUAAGACCUGUCUGGGGCAUGGCAUCAGCCUCAUGAUAUGCAAGCUAGUGUAAGACUUGUCUAGGGCAUGGCAUCGGCUUGAGGUGUGUUAGUGUAAGACCUGUCUAGGAUAGGGCAUCGACACAAAUAAGUGAGAGCCAGUGUAAGACUUGUCUAGGACAUGGCAUCACCUCGAUGUAUGUAACUCAGUGUAAGACCUGUCGGGGACAUGGCAACGACUUAAAUGUGUGAGCCAAUGUAAGACCAUGUUUGGAACAUGGCGUCGGCAUCGUACCCUGUGUUUGAGACUUGAUGAUUAUCCUAUAGUAUUCCAAAUGGUUCAAUGGGAAAUUUACGGUUUAUGUCAAAAUGAUAGCACUUAUGACCAUGUUGUGAGUGGUACAGGUACUUACAUGAAAUUGAUGAUCUGUCAACUUUGUUCUUGUUGUAUGAAUAGCGAGGAAUGAACAUGACUAAGAAUUGUUAUGAGUAUUUUCUGUUUGUGCGAGUUAUGAUAUAUUGGGAGUAUGAUAACAAGUGGUAACAUGGUUGUUAUUUCGAUAUUUACAUACAACUUACUAAGCUUUGUGCUUACCCUUUUCCUUUCCAUUUUCUUGUAGUGCCGCCAAAUCAACCCGUGAAUCAAAGAACGUCGGAGGCAUCACUCACACUAUCACUCUAAGCUUUUUUUAUAGUUAGUUUUAUUAACUUAAGUAUGGCAUGUAUAGGGAUUGAGUCUUUUUGUUAUGUGUCAUAUUGUUAAGUUAGCCAAUUGUGUUGGCAUGGGACAAAAACCUUCUUUUUGUAUAAGGCCAUGGUUAAUGGUUAAUAUUCAUUAUUGAUAUUUGAAAAUGAUGAUGCUUCCCUGGAUGAACAAAUGUGUGAAUGAUCGAGUGCAUGUUCGGUUGUUAGAGUGUUAUAAGGUUUGCAUUUGAAUGACAUGUUGUGGUUGAUUUAGUCUUAUAUAUUUGUGUAGAUUGGAGAUAUCUGUUGUUGUGUAGGCUGGUGCAAGUAAGGGUGGAAAAAAGGCUUGGUAUAUAGCCUUGUUUUGUCCACACAGGUAGACACAUGGGCAUGUGUCUAGGCCGUGUGCGACACACGGUCAGCCCCAUAGGCAUUUGUCUGGCCGUGUGUCCCCUACACCUUAAAAUUUCAAGUUAGUAUGCAUGGUAGUAAACACACGGGCAAAGACACGACUAUGUGUCUCAACCGUGUGGAGGACACAGCCUCUGGGCAUGGGCGUGUGCCCAGCCAGUAUGAAGUCUGUACCUUAAAUGUGGAAUUUAAAUUCACCACACGGCCUACCACACGAGCAUGUGCCUUGGCCGUGCGCGUGUGCCUAGGCCGUGUGCCCCUAAAUGGUUGCUGACAUCAGAAACAAAAUGUCAAGGUUUUUGGAAAUGGACGUGUCAUGGUCGUGUGAGGGACACAGGCCAUGGACACGGGUAUGUGCCAGGCCGUGUGAAAACCCUUGUAGGUUUGAAUUAGGAUUAAUUCUACACGGUUUAGGGACACAGACGUGUCUCGAUGUGUUUAGGCCGUGUGAACAGCACGAGCCUUCAACGCGGCCAUGUCAAGAAGGCCACACGGGUGUGUCGCCCCUUCCAUACGAGAGUGUACCCCUUGUUCAAGAGUCAUUUUCCAGAGUUCUUUAAAGGACCCGGUUUGGUUUCGAAUCGUCCUUAAAGUUUGUUUUAGGCCUCGUAGGCUCGUAAUAAGGAAUACUAGACAUGGUUUGAAAAUUUUUAAGUUUGAUCAAGUUUCUAAGAUUUGUAAAUGUUGGAAUGCAUGUGUUUAAGUUUAGCAAUGCCUCGUACUCAGUCCCGACCUCAGACUCGAGUAAGGGGUGUUAUAGUGAAGGGGGAGCGAAAGGACGGUGGUGGGGGAAGAAGAGAGGGGAUUUUUUUUAUUAAAUCUUAAUAUAACUAUAUUUAUUUAUAUUAAUAGUAAUAUUAAUAUAAAAUUUAAAUUUAUUAUUAUUAUUAUUAUUUUGGAAAUAUUUAUGUAUUUUUUAUAUAUUUCCUUUUAGUUUUUAGAGUUAGGAUAAAAUUGAGAAUAUUUGUAAAUUUUGAGGGUUAAUUUUUAAAAUUAUGACUAAAUUGAUAUAAUAUAUAAAAUCAUGUUAGCUUGUUGUUUGUGAUUUUAACGAGAGUGACCAAAAUGACCAAACUAUCUAACGUGAGUGGUUAAAAUGCAAACUUUUUAUCUUAAGUGCCUAAAAUGAAUUUUUUUUAUAGUUGGUUGACUAUCCUUGUAGUUUACCCUUAUUUUAAAUCACUUUGUUACACUUCUACUAGUUAUUAGGUGGCAUUUGGUACAUUCUUAUUGUAAGAUUUCAAUAAAAUGUGAUUUUUUGGAAUGUAAUUGUUAAGAAUGUGAGUACGAAGAUCAAUUAAUUCUAGCAUUUGGUAUAUUUGGAAAGUACUAAUUAAAAUAUCGAAAAAGUUACAUGGAUGCAUUUUGUUCACUAAGCACUGUACUAGUGUCACGGGCCGUAAAUCAAAGCCCAUGAUCAAUACGCACAGGAUGUCCCAUAGAGAUCAACAAAUGAAAUAAAGCUCAUUUGACCCACUUGAACUACCCGAUUCAUAAAAUAUAAGCAAAAUCCCAUCUCCUUGAAGCCUUGGUGGCUUAGUGAAACACUUUAGUAAAACUUGAGUUACUAGGGCAAUUAAUGUAAAUCUUAAAUAAUGAAUAUGUAUAGAGUUCAAACCCCUUAAGACUCUCAUCUUAUAGAUAGGUACUAAUCUUAGCCAUUAAUGUAAAUCGAUCUAUACAACCACAUUUGGGGAGCUCAACUAUAAAUACAGGUCUCCCCCUCCAUUUGUAAUCAUUUCAUUCUUUCUAAGUUAAUAUAUUGAGAGAAUUUACUUAAACACUUGAUGUGCACUCUCUUUUUAUGGCUUUCUUUAGUUCAUUUGUAGCUUCUUUCCUUUCAGAGUUUGCUUCCACUUUGUUUUGGUGCCUUAGAGAAAUUUUACAAGAAUUCUCACUUUACGAGGGAAAGGCUAACUUAGGCAAAUUUGAAGUGAAGAGAUCGCCUAAGGUCAUAUGGAUAUGAGACGAAAGGUGUAGUCUUGUGACUGUUGGUACUAGAGCUAGUGGUUGAAGGCACAGAUCAAAAUGUGGAAAGAAGUUGCUGAGGAUAAUUAGCCUAUAGAGAACCGUGGGAGGGGCAAAAAAGAUAGUAGCUCGAGGGAUAUAUCAUCACUCUUGAAGGUAAAGUUUCCAAACUUGAAGGUUCUAUAGGGGGUGUGAAGGAGACCCUUAAGUUAGUCAAAGGGUGCAUCAAUGAGUUGAACAAGAUGAAAGAAUGGCUCAAGGACUAUGCGAAUAAGGCUCUUAAUGGCAAUUGGAAUGUGAUGAAAAAGGUCUUUAAUACCGCAAAGAGUGAUCAGACUGAGAAGAAUGAAGCUCUCGAAGCCGUGAUAGCAGAUUUGAAGUAACAGGUUGCGGAGCUCAUGGGGGAGCUCACUAUCUGUAAAGUUGUUCUAAGUAGUGGGAUGCUGGUUUUGACUCCAAAGCAGAGUAGCAUAGAUGUUUUCAAACCAAAUGAGUUCAAGGGAAGGAGGUUCGCAAGAGACAUGGACAAUUUCCUCUAAAGGAUUGAACAGUAUUUCUGUGCGAUGGGUAUCGAUGAUAAUGCCACUAAGGUAAAUAUUACUGCAACUUAUUUUACUGAUAUCAUUUUUUUAUGGUUGCGUCAUGUGUCCAUAUAUGAGAGACAAGGUGGGACCAAAAUCAAAACCUGGGAAGAGUUCCAAAAGGAGUUUAAGAAGCAGUUUUACCCACAUUAUAUGUCUAGAAGGAGGCUUGGGCAAAGCUGCGUCGACCUACAAAACAAGGCACUGUUCCGGAGUACGUUCAUGAUUUCAAUUAAUUAAUGCAUCAAAUCUUUAGCUUGAAUGAGAAACAAACAUUCUAAUGGUUUGAAGAUGGCCUAAAGAUGUUAGCAAAACAAGAGUUGCGUUGACAAGGCAUCACCAAACUUACCAUAGCCAUGGUAAAGGUUGAGGCAUUUUUUGAGUUUAAGGGCAAAAAGUUAGGUAUUCUUAAGUAUUCCAAGCCCAAACUUAAACACAAUGGAAAUGGUGGGGAAGGCCAUGAGGAAAAGAAAGAUGAAGAAGGCAACAAUGACUAAGGUAAGAAUGGUGGUAAUAUGAAACCAUGUAACGAGAAGUGGAAGCCCAACAACAAACCGAAGGGGCCAAUAAAGUGUUUCCUUUGUGAUGGUCAACAUACGGUGAGGGACUGUAAAAAAAAGUUUGUAUUAUUUGCCAUCAUGUGGGACGAUGAGCCAGACAAAGCAUCGAUGAAACUUCGCUUGAUUGUGUGUUCUAUAAAAGCUAAGAGGGUAAGAGAGAAUGAGAAGAAGCCAUUAAAGUGUUUCUUGUGUUGUGGUCUAUAUAGGAUGUGAAAUUGCCCAGAACAAUCCAAGACGUUUGCAAUGAGUAAAGAGAAUGAAGCGGAGCCUGUUGAGAGUAAGGAUUUAAAGCUUAGGUCAAUGAUACUCAAUAUGGCAAAGGUGAAAAGGGAUUGCAAGCAAGAUUGGUUGACGUAUGUGGACAUCAACAUUGUAGGUCAGAGUAAGAGUGGUCUUAUUGAUACUAGGGCAAUAGAUUUUUUUUAUUCAUGGGUAAACUCAGUCUUUCAGUGAGUAAGUCAACUAAGAAUAUCAAGACUGUUAAUUCCAAAGACGUCCUAACAAUGGGAGUAGCAUAAGUAGUUGAGCAACAAAUCAGUCAAUGGAAAGGUAAGGAAGAAUUCGAGGUAAUCCACUUGGAUGAUUACGAUUUUUUUAUUGGCUUGAAUUUUUUUGACAAGAUUAAUGCUCUUUUGGUUCCUUUUAUCAUGGGUAAACUCAAUCUCUCAAUAAGUGAGUCAACUAAGAAGAUUAAGACUGUUAAUUCCAAAGAGGUCUCGACUAUGCAAGUAGCACAAGGAGUUGAGCUAUAGAUCGAUCAAUGGAAAGGAAAGGAAGACUUUGAGGUAAUCCACUUUGAUAAUUACGAUUUUAUUCUUGGCUUAAAUUUCAUUGACAAGAUUAAUGCUCUUUUGGUUCUUUUUUCCAACUAUAUAUGCAUCCCGAGUACUAGACAACAAUAAUACAUUGUGCUAGUGAAUCGAGAAAUGAGGGGUGAAACAAAGGUAUUGUUGGCAAUCUAACUAGCUAAUGAUAUUUUGUAUAGGAGGAAUAUUGAUGAAGACCCCCUUGGAAAUGCUAGAAGCGCAAAAAAUCGAUAUAAAGCAUGUUGAGUCAUCAAAAAGGUUACCACCUAAGAGAAAGGUGGGUUGUGCAUCAGACUUCGAAGGAAAAGUAGUGAUGCAAACUGAACAAUUGGAGAAAAUAAAUGCUAUGAAGAGGUACAUCUCAAACACUUUGGUAAUGUUUUACAAUAUGACUUACUAUUGCCCUUUCAGAGUUCGGAAGUGAGUAAGCUGAUGGGUUUACAAACUAGAGGUAGCAGCAACACUCAAAGUGAACUCGAUGUUCAACGUGGGCAUGCCUAAGCCUAUUUAUGUGAAUCAUAAGGAUCUCAAUUGAGGCAAGUCACAAUGGGGGCAAAUAAGAGUGGUGGCCUCUUACGAACGAGAUGUACAAUAGAGGAAUACAUUUUGAGUUAGGCAAUGGUAGAGACAUAAGCUGAGGCAAAUAUUCCAAGGAGUAGAACUAUCCAACAGAGAGACUAGCUAAAAAUUAGUUGAGGCAUCGAGAUCGUUCUAAGACGAGUUAAACUAGUUUCAUUAUAAAGAUGUGAUGAGGGCAUCGUGAGAAUGGAUGGGGGAGAAUUUCACGAGCCGUGGAUCAAAGCUCGUGACCAAUGCAAAUGGAAUGUCCCAUGGAGUUUAAUAUAUGAAAUGGGGCUCAUUCAACCCACUUAAAUUGGCCUGAUUCGUGGAAUAUAAGUAGAAACCUAUCUACUUGAAGCCUUGGUUGUCAUAUCCUAAAUAUACGGCUAGAAGAAAUAGGAGUAAAAUUUAGAAUUUUAUUUUUUAAAGCAUAAGGUAAGAGAAUUAGAAGGCCUUAAAAAUUAUUUGUGUUAAGAAAGUAACAAGAAUGAGUCUUCUAGUUUGUGGUAGAGCCUUAGCUUACCCUUAGGUCCUAAGUUUGAAACCCCUUGUAUGCAUUUAGUCAAAAUAUUUUAUUUUCCUAUUUUUACCCCCAUCAAAGUACCAAGAUCUCAAAAUACCCAGCCAAAAACCAUUUUUUCGUAAAAUAGUUUUAAUUUUACAUAAAUUCCUAAAACUUAUUUCAAUUAAGGGAAAUAGUUUUAUAAAUAAGAAAUCUUUUCAAACCCUAGAAUUUUUAUCUAGCAAACUUUUCAAGAAAAAAUCCCAAGUUCUUCUUUUUCUCCACCAUUACCAAAUCAAUCUUCAAGCAAAAGAAUUUAAAGUUUUCAAACUAGUCCCUCUCAUCCCGAGUAGAUCGUCAAUCUCCUCAUCCGAUUAAGGUUUUGUGUUUUCAAAAUCAAGUGUGGGAUCUACACUUAAAUCGUUGUGUAUAAUUAAUUGAAGUACUAGGAAAUAAGUAUCAGUAUAUGUGAACCUCCUAUAUAUGCGAACCCUCAAUGUGCGAGCCCUUGUGUAGGAACCCUUUUAUGUGAUCCCCUUACAUGUGUGCAAACCCAUAUGCAUGAAAACCCUAUAGUAUACAAAACCCCCUAUAGUAUGUAGAACAACCUAUAAUAUACGAACCCCUUUGCAUGUGCGAGGCCUCUCAUGCGAACCCCUAUAGGCGAGCCCCUUAUGUGAACCCCCUAUUGCGAACCCAUAUGUAAAAUCAUAUAUGAUUUAUUAUGAGAACUUCUAAUAUAUAUCCUUGUGAACCCUACAUGAAAAUUAUACGAACUCUAUGUGUUAUUCAUGCAAACCCUUCAUGAUUAUUUAUACGAACCCUAUGUGUUAUUCAUGUGAACCCUAUAUAUUUGUGUAUAUGUAAACUAUAUACAUGUUAUUACGCGAACCCUCAUAUUGCAGUAUGCGAACCCUAACUGUUCCACUAUGUGAACUUUACAUGUUUAAUAUGUGAACCCUUUAUGUGUACUUUACGAACCCUGUAUAUGUGUUUAUAAAAACCCCCUUGUAUGUCUAAACCCCUGUACGCAAGCCAUGUAUGCGAACCCCUUUUUGUAUCUACAAACUCAGUAUGUGCAAACCUUACUUGUGCGAACUCUUCUUGUGAACCUGGAUGUAUGCAUUAGUCGAACUAUGCCUAUUAAAUUCGAAUGAAGAUACUGUAUAUGCAAUAUUGUUUUAAAUCACAUAAAUUAAUUAUAUAUGUGAAAUUGAUGGGAAUAAGUGCAUGAAUACAUGCCAAUGAAGAAUAGUAUGAAAUAUUGAAUAGAGCAUCAAUUAAUGAUAAAUAGCAUAACAUGCUAAGUAUAUGUGCAUAAUUAUAUGAAAUUGGGUAUGGAGGAUGAAAAAGUUCCAUGGGAGACAGUGGCAAUUUAAGUCCACAUUGAAUGAUAGUACUGCAUGAAGUAGGCGGCAAUGUUAUCAAAAUCAGAUAAACUGGGAUGUUAGUUUAAAAAGCCAUCAAAACCAGGCAACCAAGAUUGUAAGUUAUUGAAGUAAAAGUCAUCAUCAUAGAUGACAAGUGAACGACCAUCUUCAUCGGGAAAUCUGAGAUGGUUAGUUAUUGAUAUGUAUUUUGGAGUGUUGAGCAAUGCUCGAGGGCGGAUAGGAUGGACAAUUGGGAAAUUCAAAUUAAAAUUGCAUUGCAUCAUGAACAUAACCUGUUUAUACAUUGGUUUACCAAAUUUCCUUACAUUAUGCUUAUUUUUUUAUUAUUCCAUCAAUUGAAAGCUUUAUUGUUUAUAAGUUUGUAUAUAAUGGUUUAAAAAUUAGGCUCACAUUGAGCUGUUAUAAGCUCACUCCCUCUUUUUCCUUACUUCACAAGUAACUUAGAGAACUAGGACUCGAAAUGGUAUCAAAUGAACCUCAAAUUAGUAGAUUAUUUUUCUUUUAUUUUAAAAGUUUCCAUUAAAUUUUUCUAUAAUUGUUUUAUUCUUUUUGGAUUGUAAUUAUUAACUAAUUUUUGAUUUCACAUCAUUAGGUUUUGGGUUUGCUUAGUUUAUUUAUGUUAAGCAUGAUACUUAAUUAAAACUCUGAUAAAUACAUGUUAUAUGGUUUAGAAAACUAAUAUUCAUAAAUGUUUUCCAUUGCUUUACAAAAUACCUAAAAUUUUGAUAAAUCUUUUUUUUUAGAACUUUAACCGUUUUCAAAACGCCACGAUAAUAAUGUCAUAAUUAAAUCUCUAAGAAAAGUCGACUUAAUGAAAGAAUGUUUUCCUAAAACCGAAAGGGUUUUUUCUAUUCAAAAUCAAAUGCAUCUAAAAUAGUGGUUUUAUAGGAUCACUUCGGUGAUCGAAUGUAAAGCCUUAGACUUAGCUAAAAUUCCUACUCUUGGGAGGUGUUACAUUGGUGGCCUAGUGAAAUACUCCAGUAAAAACUAGAGUUAUUGUUAGGGUAUUUGAGUGGAGAAGAUAGAUUUGGAGAUGAUAUCGAAUUAAAUAGUAGACUUGGAAGCGCAAAUGACGCUUUCCAAGUAGAACAAUUUCCCUUUUAAACAAAGCUGAUAGAGAGUUAAGACAAAGAUCCUCUUGUAAUACAAUGAAGCUUUUUUAUUUUCUUUUAUUAGAAAAAUCGAGGAAUUCCAUAACUCUUACUCUAAUUUCUAAAAUUAGAUUGAUUAUAAUGAUCAUCUUUUAAGUACUAUAGUCCCUCUAUUUAUAUGCACUAAAAGGACAUUAUUGAAGAACCAUAACUCUUCGUAUUGGACAUACUUCUUAGAAGAAACAUGUCUUAUGGAAAUCAAAUGCAUCUAUUAAAUAAAUCAUCACUUUCUAAUUUGAAUAAGUGCUCAUGAAUAAUGAAUUUUGAAUCUGCAAAUUUCCAACAAUCCCCUACUAGAUUGCUAAUUCUAGAAAAUAAGUACACAAUGAUUAUGCAUAAAGAAGGGUGUAUGCAGAUUGAACCUUACUUUAGUGCAAACUCCCAAAGUAUCAACAAUAUGAAUGGUGGCUAGUCGCUUGAACGACUACUCUUAAAGUCAAUACCAAAAAAAUUCACACAUAACCAUAAAGUAUUAGAGAAAGAUUUUCUUUGCUUUAGCACCGUUAUGGCCAUGUGUUCAUCCCGUAUUAUGAACAUGUAUGAGAGAAAACUAUAAGGAAACUCUCGUUGAAGCAACACCACUUCAUGUCCAUAUAGGUGGAUUUCAUGAAUAUUAAUAUCCAUCCAUUAAGAGUAAAACUCAUCCUCCUAAAAUAGAAACACUAAAUCCUGAUUCUUAGUACAUGUUAUUAUUCGAUAACUUGUUAUUACCCUUUGAACCUUGAAACUAACUUUUGGCUAGAACAAGGUAGGGUUUAAAUUAUCAAUGACGCGAUUAGAAUGGUUUUAAUCCUAUUUUAAUGGUGGUACUCUUAACCAAAUCCCUUGACAAACCUUUUGUCAAUGGAUCCGCUAAAUUUUCAAUUGACUUAACAUAGGUAAAAGUUAUCACACCGUCCCUAAUCAAUUGUCUCACAUUCUUAUGUCUCAAACUUAUAUGUCUAGACUUUUCAUUAUACACUUUAUUGUACGCUUGAGACAUGGUGGACUCACUAUCAUAAUAUACAAGAAUGGUGAACAUACGUUGUGGCUAAAACUUUAUAUCAAACAAUAAAUCUCUUAGCCAUUCUGCUUUCUUGUCGGUAGCAGCCAAGGCUAUAAAUUCAGCCUCUAUAUUUGAAUGUGAGAUGCAAGUUUGUUUCUUGGAGGCUCAACUAAUAACUCUACCUCUAAUCAUAAAAAUCCAUCCUGAUUUGGACUUAUUGUCACUUAGACUUGUAAUCCAACUUGCAUUCAAGUAAUCUUCUAGUAUCGCAGGAUAAUGACUAUAUAAAAAUUCCAAAUUUUUUGUUUUCUUAAGAUAGGCAAAAAUCCUACAAAUUCCGUUCCAAUGAUCAGUACUAGGAAAACUUGUAAAUCUUGCCAAUUUGCAUAUAAAAAAUGCAAUAUCGAGUCUAAUGCAAUGCAUUGCAUACAAUAGACUUCCAAUUGCACUGGCGUACUUAAGUUGAGCUAUAGCCUUACCAUUAUUCUCACUUAACUUGAAGUUUGAACCGAAUGGAGUGUUCGAAUCCUCGAAAUUCAAGUGUUUGAACUUUUUCAAUACUUUCUCGAUGUAGUGAGAUUAGCUUAGUGCAAAGUCACUUUCAUUCUUUUUCACCUUUAUACCUAAAAUUGUAUAUAACUCGUUGAGAUCUUUCAUCUUAAAACUUGAGGCUAGAUACUUUUUCGUCUCGCGAACGCCUUCCAUACUCGUCCCAAAAAUCAGCGAAUUGUUUACAUAUAGACAAAUAAUUACAUUGUACCUAUCGGUAAAUUUAGUGUAAAUACUUUUAUUCAUACUAUUAUGUAAAAAAACCAUAUUACAAGAAAAUCGAGUCUCAUGUCACUGUUUUGGCAUUUUUUUAAACCAUAUAAUGACUAGAUCAACUUACACACCUUAUGUUAAUUCCCAAAAAGCAUAAAGUUUUCUGGUUGCUCCAUGUAGACUUCCUCUUUGAGAUCACCAUUCAAAAAAGCUAUCUUAACAUCCAUCUAAUGUACAUAUAACUUAUGGAUAGAUGAAAGUGCCAUAAGAAUUUGAAUGGAAGUCAUCCUAGCCACUGAUGCAUAGGUGUCAAAAUAAUAUAGGUCUUUCUUUUGCCUAAAUCAUUUUGCCACCAACCUAGCCUUAAAGGUUGGGGAACCCCCUGAUGGAGUAUUCUUUCUUUUAAACACCCAUUUGCACCUAAUAGGAUUUGAUCCUUGAGGGAUAUCAACAAGAAUUCAAGUAUUGUUGGAGAAUAAAGCAUUCAUUUCAUCAUUGAUCGCCUCUUUCCAAAAUAUCGCAUCCCUAGGAGUCAUGUAUUCACCAUAGGAUUGUGGGUCACCAUCCACAUUAAACAUUAAGGGGAUAUUCUUAAUUAUGGAUUCUCUAUUUCCCUCAAUGAGGAAUGCUAGAGAUUGUGAGGAAAUAAAAUUGAGACCAAGUUCCUUAACUUUUCUCACUCUUUACUUUUCAUCAGGUCUGUAUGUAACAACCCGAUUUUAACUAAAUCGGAUCAAUGGUUUUGGGACCAAAAAUAUGGGGUUAUCAAAUUAUUUUAAUAUUAUUUUUGGUGUUUAUAGCAUGUGAAUAUAUAUGUAUAAAAAUUUCGCGAGCUAAUUUUAUCAUUUAAUAGCUUAAUUUGAGAAAAUGACUUAAUCGCGUAAAAUGCAAAGGUAGCAUGCUAUAAGUUAAAAGUGCUUAAUUGCUAUGGCUUAUUAAAUGAAAGGUCCUUAUGUUGUAAUUAGACCAUUGAUAGUGGAUAUGGACAUUAAUAACAUUAUAUUUGAUGAUUAAAUGGUUUAAUAACAAAGGGUAAAAUCGUAAAAUAUGCAUUAAGUUUUAAUAAAUAAAAGAAAAACAAUUUUAAAGCCUAAAUUAUCAUCAUAUUCCACCGAAAAUCAAAAGAAAAUAAAAGAUGGAAGCUCAUCUGGGGUUUGACACUUGUGUGGAUUAAUUGAGGUAUGUUUUGAGCUCGAUUCUUUUAUGAUUUCUACGUUUUUGUGAUCGUUGCUUCGUGUUCUAGCUAGCCCAUGUCUCAAUUUUUGAAAGUGUUGAUGAUUUUGAAAGUUACCGUUGAUGAAUUCAUGUGUUUUUGGAUGCUUGAUGAUGAAUUAUGAAAGCUUAGUGAUAAAUGUCUAAGUUUUGUAAAGUGAUUUUUGAUGAAAAUGUCAAUUAGGGAUUAAAUUGAGAAAAUGUGAAAUUUUGUGGUUAAAAGUGUGAAAUAAAUGAAAAUAUGGGUUGUUAUGAAGCUAUAGAGAAUUCGGCUAAGCAUGAGUCUUAUUGAAUUUUUGUGAAUUUGGUGUACUUCUAAAAUAAGGACUAAAUUGUAAAAAAUGUGAAAGUUUAGGGCCAAAGUGUAAAUUGGCUUAAAUAUGUGUUUGUGGAUGAAAUUGAAAAAUUAUAUGAUUAAAUUAUUUGAAUUUGUUAUAAUAUAGAUCAAAAAAAGAGGAACCCAUACUUAGAUCGAGGCAAGAACAAAGUACUCUAUUAAUCGACAAGUUUCGUCGUUUUUACAUCCAAGGUAAGUUCGUACAUGAUAAACAUUGUUACAAUUAUUUUUUAAUGCUUUAAUAUUGCAUAAAUUAUAUAUAUGAGACGAUGGUUGUGUACGACGAUGAAUCGAUUAUAUAUGGCACUUAGUGUGCAAAUCGGAAUAGCUUCGGCUAUAUAUGGCAGUUAAUGUGCAAGACUGAGAUAGCUUCGGCUAUAAAAGGCACUUAGUGUGCGAGAUUAUAAUACCUUUAACUAUGCUUUGGCACUUAGUGUGCGAGAUAUCGAGUAUUAGACAUUAUUACAAAAAGGUAUGAGUUCGAUAUGAAUUUAUACAUGUAUGUACAUAUAAAGCAUGAAAUCCAAAUAGAAGAAGUUAUGAACUUGUUCAUAGACACUUGAGUGAGUAUGAGGAAAGUUUGUUGGUCAUCAUGAUUUAGAUAUUAAUUAGUAUGAAUUGAUGAUUUGUAUAUUAUGAACUGUUGAGUAUAUUUAAUACGAACUUGCUAAGCUAUAAAGCUUACUCUGUGUUAUUUGUUUAUGUUUUAUAGAGAAUCAAAGCUAACUUGGACUCGAGAAUUAUUAGGAAGCGUCAUCAUACUAUCGAUCAUUUUGUUGGUACUUUUGAAGCUUUGUAUAUAUGGUAUAUGACAUGUAUAGGCUAGCAUCAUCUUAGUAUGUUUUGAGUUAUGAUUUUAGCCAUGAGAUUUGGCUUGCAAAUGUUGGCGUGCAUGGCCAUUUAAGUUGGCUUGAAUUAUGUGUUUGAUAAAUGUUAUAUGUGAUGAAUAUAAUGCUUUAUGUGUUAGGUUGUUUGGAAUGGUUAUAUGGUUGCUCUUUUGGAUAGUUAUAAGUUGUGGUAUUAUUGCUUGGAAGUUGGCAUAUUGUGGAUUGAUUGAGAUGAUGAUAUGGUGUGUUAUGUGUCUUGAAUUAGAGGAUAAGUUGAUGAGUAAAUGCAAUUAUAAGUUAUGUUUGUAACAUCCCAAAUUAAGGCCUAGUAGGAAUAGUGGUUUCAAGACCACAAAAUCGACAUAAAAAUAUUUAUUUUAUAAUUUUUUUGAGGUCUGGGACAUGAAAGCAUGCAUGUGUGAAAGUUUCAUAAAUAAAAUCUAAGUGUAGGGUGUCCAAUUUAAAAAUUAGGGACCAAAUCGAAUAAAUUGCAAAACUUGUGUUCUAGAAGCAAUUUGUAUGAAAUUGCUUUGGAUUAUUAAUUAGGAGGUUUUAAAUAGCAAUUUGCCCAAAUUCUAAGUUUUUGGACAAAAAUGGGCAUGGAUAGAAAAUUUUGAAAGUUUAGUACGGAAGGACAUUUUGGUCAUUUAGUAAUAAAUGAAAUGAAAAGGGGAAAUCAAAGCAAAAUUCACUCAUUUUCUUCCUUAUGGCUGCCGAUAUUUUCAUGGGUUUCAUAAGCUAGAGUUUUGACAUUUUCAAGCCUGGUAGUAAGUGACUCCUAGCCCCGUUUUUAACGUUCUUUACAUUUUUGAGAUCCUCGUAACAUGCUCUAUCCAUUUCUACCCAUAUUUCAAGCUAGGGUUGAUAUUAUAAAUUUGACCCAUGCAUGAGAUGAUUGUUCUUUGAUGAUAUAUGGAGGAUUAUGAAAGUUAGAUGUUAGAUAAAAAUCUUUUACUAGAUGAUUUUUCAUGAAAACACUAAAAAGGGGCCUAUUUGUAAAAGGUACAAAAUGGGUGGUAGAAGUGUGAAAUAGAAGAAAAUUAUGGACUGAUAUGAGCUUAGAAUAGAUUCGGAUAGGGUGGGGUAACCAAGAAAAUGCAUGCAUUUCAUUUUACGAGCAUUAGGCCCAAAUUGUAAAAAAUGUUAAAGGUUAGGGGUAAUGUGGUCAUUUUGCCCAAGAGUGAAAUUUUGGGCUGAAUUUGAAUAAUGAGAUAGAAUAAUAAUUUAUUUUGUUUAUAUAGACCUAGAGAGACCAAUUCUAGAGGUUGACCGUGGAAAACAAAAGGUUUCGGAAUAACCGAAAUCAAAUCCGAAACAUCUUCCAAGUAAGUUCAUGUAACUCGAAGUAAUAAUUUUAAAAUACUUAAAUGUAUAUUCUUGAAUGUGAUAUCAAUUUUGAUACUCAAUGUAUAAUAAUUCAUGAAACAUGAUUGUAUUGAUUUAAAAAAGAUUUAAAUAUCUCGGUUGAAUGAAAAGGGUAUCCGAUGGAAUUCUUGAAAAUGAAUUGACGGUAAAAAGGACCUAACCCGGACGAGUGUUCCUUAUGUGAUCUGGCCUCCCGAAGAAUAUGUGUUUUAAAUGGAUUUAGCCCAGACAGGUAGUCCGAAUUAGGAUUUGAAUUUAGCCUGGACUAGUAAUUCAGAUCCAAGCUCAUUAGAGUAUUUGUCGUUGCAGGGGAUUUAUCCUGGACUAGUAAAUCCCAACAUUACUCUAUGAGUUUAUACUACGAGGGAUUUAGCCUAGACUGGUAAUCCCGCCGUAAAAGAAUGAGGUUCACAGGAAUGCGCUCAUUGAAAAGGUCACUAAUAUGAAUUGAUGAUAAAUGAUUUAGUACGCUAUAAGUGUACUAAAGAAUAUUCAUCGAGAUUCUGAGAAAUUCAACGAGAUUAGUAUGAGAAGUGGAAUUAAGAUUUUUGUUAUGACGAGCUCAUCUACUGAUUGUUUAUUAUCAUAUAUUACUAUGUGUCUAACUUGAUGAUUGAGUACAUGUGUUAGGGAAAAUAUUCUAUACUUGAUGGAUUGCCUAUUUAAUGUAGUUGUAUGUUAAAAUAAUCGGUAAGUUUACUUUCUUGUUAUAUGGACUUAUUGAGCAUGUCAAUGCUUACCCCAUUUUAGUUUUUUCCUAUUUUAUAGAGCUCGUGGACUCAUGGAGCUUGGAAGAUGGUGGGAGCCUUGGUCACACUAUCAACAAGUCUCAUUUUGGUAUAAACAAACAUUCAUUUUGAUAUAAUGGCAUGUAUAGGAUUUUUGAUCAUUUUUUUAUAUGUGUCAUUUGGUCAGCCAAAGAAAUGGCUUAUGAAGAUAUGCUAAUUCAUUUUUUAUACGGCCAUGAGAUGUGGCUCAUAUUGAUAUGGGUGGUAACCCUACUAAAUAUACAUGUUUAAGUUUAAAUGUUUCUUGCGAUGUGAUUGUAUAGUCUAGCAUGAAUGGAUGUGUAAAAUGAGGUCCAAUAACUUGAGAAUGGUUAUGGCAUAAAAUGGUUUGUGGUUAUAUCAUGGCCUAAGUACAAAAUGUGGAAUGUGCUAAUGAUAACCCUAAUACAAAAAGUGUAACCUGAACAAGUCUAAUAAGGUUUACAUGUAUAAAUCAUGUCAAGGAUGUUUAAGUGUAAUUAUAUCCCAUGUUAAGUGUCCUUGAAGUAUAUGAGUGUGUAUGGAUGUAAAAGGGUGACCAAAGGCUUGGAAAAUUGCCCCCAAAACGUGUGGUUCUCUUAACCACUUUCUUAGGGACUGCCCGAAACGUGUUGAUUGAGAGGUUUCACCAGCCCUGAAAUUGAGUGCUCCAAUCUCCCAAGGUAGACCUCCACGACAUCCCCGAAAGUACUAGCAGUAGUGAAUUGUUGGAAAGGAUUCUACUACAAAAUCAGAGGCUUGAGCCCCAGCGAGAACUUAUGUUAAACGCACUAGAGUGGAAGCCUUAUCUCCUGAUGUCAUAACGGGUACAUUUUCUCUUCAUAAUGUCCAUGUUAUUCCCUUGAUUGACCCGAGAUUAACCCAUUCAUAUAUUUGCAUGAAAUUGGUGUCUAGCAUGAAUAUGUAUGUGGAGCCUACGAAAUUUAUGAUUAAUGUAUAGGACCCUCUAGGCAAGUUAAUGUUAGUAGAUAAAGUUUAUAAGAAUUGUCCUUUGAUGAUUCAAGGUCAUUGUUUUCCGGCUAACCUUAUGCUUUUGCCAUUCGACGAGUUCGAUGUAAUACUUGAUAUGGAUUGGUUGACUGUUCAUGAGGUGAUUGUAAAUUGUGGUAGCAAGCAUAUUAAUUGAAAUGCUCAGAUGGUGAGAUUCUUCGGGUUGAUUCAAAUGAGUUGAAUGCACCGCCGGUUGUGAUUACCUCAAUGUUCGCUCAAAGGUAUAUGAGAAAAGGGUACGAAGCUUACCUUGCUUUUGUAUUGAAUACUAAAGAAUCUGAGUUGAAGAUUGAGUCGGUAUCGAUAGUCUAUGAAUAUCUAGACGUGUUCCCAGAAGAGCUACCCGAAUUACCUCCUGUUAGAGAAGUGGAGUUUGGUAUUGAGUUAGUUCCAGGAACGAUGCCUAUUUCUAUUGCCCCAUACAGGAUGGUCCCGACUAAGUUGAAGGAGUUAAAAUCACAGUUGCAAGAAUUGACUGACAAAGGUUUCACAAGACCAAGCUUUUCACCUUGGGGUGUUCCUGUAUUAUUCGUGAAAAAGAAAAAUGGUUCGAUAAGGUUAUGUAUAGGCUACCGACAACUCAACAAGGUAACUGUCAAGAACAAGUAUCCUAUGCCAAGGAUUGAUGACAUGUUCGAUCAAUUGAGGGGAGCCACCAUGUUUUCAAAGAUAAAUCUGAGAUCCGGCUACUACCAGUUGUGAGUUAAAGAGUCGACGUGCCUAAGACUGCCUUCAAGACAAGGUAUGGUCACUACGAGUUCCUUGUCAUGCCUUUUUGUCUAGCAAAUGCCACAGCUGCGUUUAUGGAAUUAAUAAAUCAUGUUUUUUUACCAUACUUGGACAAGUUUGUUGUGGUAUUCAUCGACAAUAUUUUGAUUUAUUCUCGUAAUGAGUCCAAACAUACCGAACAUUUAAGUACCAUUUUGCAGACUUUACGAGACAAGCAAUUAUAUGCUAAUUUUAGCAAAAGUGAAUUUUGGCUUCGAGAGGUAGGAUUCUUGGGUCACAUUGUGUCGAGUAAUGGCAUCCGAGUUGAUCCAAAUAAGAUUUCUGCUAUUGUCGAGUAGAAGCCGCCAAAGAAUGUAACUGAGGUUAAAAGCCUCUUAGGUUUAGUAGUUUACUACCGACGCUUUGUAAAGGGAAUUUCUAUGAUUGCAACUCCCUUAACGAGGUUGCUGCAAAAAGAUGUUAAAUUUGAGUGGUCAGAAAAAUGUCAGCAAAGUUUUGAGAAAUUAAAGACAUUGCUGACAGAAGCUCCAGUUUUAGUGAAACCCAAGCCAGGAAAAGAAUUCGUGGUCUAUAGUGAUGCGUCCUUGAAUGGACUGGGUUGCGUGCUUAUGCAAGAAGGAAAAAUGAUAGCCUAUGCUUCGAGACAAUUAAAGUCGCACGAGAAAAAUUAUCCAACACAUGACUUGGAGCUAGCUGCCAUUGUUUUUGCCUUGAAGAUUUGGAGACACCAUUUGUAUGGUGAAACUUGCCGCGUAUUCACCGAUCACAAAAUUUUGAAGUACUUGAUGACUCAAAAAGAAUUGAAUUUGAUACAACGGAGAAGGUUAGAAUUGAUUAAAGAUUAUGAGCUGAUAAUUGACUAUCACCCAGGAAAGGUGAACGUGGUCGCCGAUGCCUUGAGUAGGAAGUUCUUGUUUACUUUGAGGGUUAUAAGCACACGAUUGGCGUUGUCUGAUGAUGGUUCGAUUUUGGCAGAGUUAAGAGCCAUACCGACAUUUCUCCAAGAAAUUUGCGCAGCUCAGAUCAAUGAUAUUGACUUGCAAGUCAGGAGAGCACAACGUGAGACGGGUGUUGAAUCAAAUUUUCGAAUUGGUUUCAAUGGUUGCUUGAUAUUUCAAGAUAGGGUCUGUAUACCCAAAGAUAGUGAACUUAUUCAGAAAAUUUUUCAAGAGGCACAUGAUAGUCGUUUUUUAUUAAUCCGGGUAGUACCAAGAUUUACAAUGACUUAAAGACAAUGUACUGGUGGAAUGGCAUGAAAAGAGAUAUCUCUAAAUUUGUAUCAAACUGCUUGAUAUGUCAACAGGUCAAGGCUGAACACCAAGUACCUUCGGGCUUGUUACAACCUAUGAUGGUCCCCGAAUGGAAGUGGGCCAGGAUUACUAUGGAUUUCCUGACAAGGUUGCCUUUGAGACCGAAAAAUAAAGACACUAUUUGGGUUGUGGUUGAUAGGCUGACAAAGUCGGGUCACUUUAUUCCAGUACGAACUAACUACUCACUUGAUAAAUUGGUUGACAUGUAUAUUUCUGAGAUUGUGAGAUUACACGGGGUACCAUUGUCGAUCAUCUCAGAUAGGGACCCAAGAUUUACUUCGAGAUUUUGGAAGAAACUACAAGAAGCUUUGGGUACAAGUUUGAGCUUUAGCACGGCUUUCCACCUGCAGACUGAUCGGACGAUUCAGAUUCUUGAGGACAUGUUACAAUGUUGUGUUCUUGAGUUUCAGAGUAGUUGGGAAAAAUACUUACCAUUGGUGGAGUUCACCUACAACAAUAGUUUCUAGAUGAGUUUGAAAAUGGCAUCUUAUGAGGCAAUUUAUGGCAAAAAGUUUCGAACUCCAUUGUUUUGGACAGAACUCAAAGAACACCAGAUUCAUGGAGUUGACUUAAUAAAGGAAACUAAAGAAAAGGAUAAGGUGAUACGUGAUUCCUUGAAAGUGGCAUUGGAUAGGAAAAGUCAUAUGCUGAUUUGAAAGGAAAAGAGAUUGAAUUUCAAGUUGGAGAUAAAGUAUUCUUGAAAAUGUCUCCAUGGAAAAAGGUUUUUAUAUUUGGCCGGAAAGGCAAAUUGAGUCCUCGGUUUAUUGGACUAUAUGAGAUUACCAUGACAGUUGGACAAUUAGCCUACUGAUUAGCCUUACCAUCCAAACUGGAAAAGAUUUAUGACGUAUUCCAUGUAUCCAUGCUGUGAAGAUAUAGGUCAGACCCCUCCCAUGUGAUUUCACUGGUGAAAGUUGAUAUUAGAUCGGACAUGACUUAUGGUGAAGAAUCGAUUAGGAUUUUGGCUCGAGAAGUUAAACAGUUGAGGAAUAAGAAUACUGGUAAAAGUGUUGUGGCAUAGGCAUGGAGUUGAAGAAGCUACAUGGGAGCCCGAGGAGGCUAUGAGAAUCCUAUAUCCAAACUUAUUUUUCGAAAAGACUUUUGAGGACGAAAGUCCCUAAGGGGGGAGAAUUGUAACAUCCCAAAUUACGGCCUAGUCAGAAUAGUGGUUUUUGGUCCACAAACCCAACAUAAAAAUAUUUUUUUUAUGAUUGUUUUGAGGUCUAGGACAUAAAAGCAUGCAUUUGUGGAAGUUUCAUAAAAAAAUAUAUAGGUGUAAGGUGUCCAAUUUAAAAAUUGGGGACCAAAUCGAAUAAAUUGCAAAACUUGUGUUCUAGAAACAAUUUGUAUGAAAUUGCUUUAGAUUAUUAAUUAGGAGGUUUUAAAUAUAAAUUUUCCCAAAUUCUAAGUUUUUGGACAAAAAUGGGCAUGGAUGGAAAAAUUUGAAAGUAUAGUAAGGAAGGGUAUUUUGGUCAUUUAGUAAUAAAUGAAAUAAAAAGGGGAAAUCAAAGCAAAAUUCACUCAUCUUUUUCCUUGUGACUGCCAAAAUUUGCAAGGGUUUCAUAAGCUAGGGUUUUGACAUUUGCAAGCUUGAUAGUAAGUGACUCCUAGCCCCGUUUUUAACGUUCUUUACAUUUUUGAGAUCCUCGUAACAUGCUCUAUCCAUUAAACACCAAAAUAUAUGCAUGUCACACAUGGGUAAGUUUUUGAACAUAAACCCUAGCUCAAAAUAAUGGUAGAAAUAGCUAGAUCAUGCUUCAAAGAUCUCAAAAACAUAAAGAAUAUUAAAAACGGGGCUAGGGUGUACUUCCAAUCGAGCUUGAAAGGAUGAAAAAAACCCUAGCUACGGCUCUUUGAGAAUUUCGGCUAAGGGAGGAAGAUGGACACAAUUUGGACUUAUUUUUCCCUUUUUAUUCUUUUAUUAACCAAAUGACAAAAAUGCCCCUAAGGCCUUUCUUUCAAAUUUUUCCUAUCCAUGCCCAUUUUUGUCUAUAAAAAUAGAAAUUAGGCAAAUUGCUAAUUAUGGACCUCUAAUUAACAAUCCAUGGAAAUUUCAAGCUUAAAGCUUCUAGAACUCACAUUUUGCAACUUUUGUAAUUUAGUCAUAGAUAUCAAAUUGAACACUUUAUCAAUAGAAUUUCUUCAUGAAACUUUCACACAAGAAUGCAAUCAUAUCAUAAACAUCAAAAGAAUCAUAAAAUAAUUAUUUCUAUUUCAAAUUUGUGGUCUUAAAACCACUGUUCUCACUAGACCCUAAUUUAGGAUGUUAUAGUCUGAGUUAGAAAAGAUUCAUAAUGUAUUUCAUGUAUCGAUUCCCCGACGAUACUGAUCCGAUCCUUCACAUAUUAUUUCUCUGACAAAAGUUUAAAUUCAAUCAGAUUUGUCGUAUAGUGAAGAACCGAUCCGAAUUCUAGCUCGUGAGAUCAAAGAGCUCACAAAUAAGAAAAUUGCAUUAGUGAAAGUAUUGUGGCAUCGAUACGGGGUUGAAGAAGCUACGUGGGAACCCAAGGAUGCUAUGAGAAAGCAAUAUCUAAACCUAUUCACUGUAAGAUUUUCGGGGAUGAAAAUCCCUAAGGGGGAUAGUUGUAACAGCCCGGUUUUAGCUAAAUCAGAACAGUGGUAUCGGGACCACAAAUCUGAGGUCAUAAAAUUAUUUUAAUAUUAUUUUUGGUGUUUAUAGCAUGAUAAUAUAUAUGUGUAAAAAUUUCGUGACUAAUUAUUUCGUUUAAUAGUUUAAUUUGAGAAAAGGACUUAAUCGCGUAAAAUGCAAAAGUAGCAUGCUAUAAGUUAAAAGUGCUUAAUUGCUAUGGCUUAUUAAAUGAAAGGUACUUAUGUUGUAAUUAGACCAUUGAUAGUGGAAAUGGACAUUAAUAACCUUAUAUUUGAUGAUUAAAUGGUUUAAUAACCAAGGGUAAAAUGGUAAAAGAUGUAUUAAGUUAGAAAAAAUAAAAGAAAAACAAUUUUAAAGCCUAAAUUAUCAUCAUCUUCCACCUAAAAUCAAAAUAAAAUAAAAGAUGGAAGCUCAUCUAGGUGUCGGCACUUGUGUGGCUUAAUUGAGGUAUGUUUUGAGCUCAGUUUUUGAUGAUUUCUACAUUUUUGUGAUCAUUGCUUCGUGUUCUAGCUAGCCCAUGUCUCAAUUUUUGAAAGUGUUGUUGAUUUUGAAAGCUACCAUUGAUGAUUUCAUGUGUUUUUGGAUGUUUGAUGAUGAAUUAUGAAAGCUUAGUGAUAAAUAUCUAAGUUUUGUAAAGUGAUUUUUGAUGAAAAUGUCAAUUAGGGAUUAAAUUGAGAAAAUGUGAAAUGUUGUGGUUAAAAGUGUGAAAUAAAUGAAAAUAUGGGUUGUUAUGAAGCUAUAGAGAAUUCAUCUAAGCAUGAGUCUUAUUGAAUUUUUGUGAAUUUGGUGUAUUUAUGAAAUAAGGACUAAAUUGUAAGAAAUGCAAAACUUUAGGGCCAAAGUGUAAAUUGGCUUAAAUAUGUGUUUUUGGAUGAAAUUGAAAGAUUAUGUGAUUAAAUGAGUUGAAUUUUUAUAAUAUAAAUCAAGAAAAGAGGAACCCAAACUUAGAUCGAGGCAAGAACAAAGUACUCGUUAAUUGACUAGUUUUGUCGUUUUUACGUCUGAGGUAAGUUCGUACGUGAUAAACAUUGUUACAAUUAUGUUUUUAAUGCUUUAAUAUUGCAUAAAUUAUAUAUAUGAGACGAUGGUUGUAUACGUCAAUGAAUCGAUUAUAUAUGGCACUUAGUGUGCGAAUCGAAAUAGCUUUGGCUAUAUAUGGCACUUAGUGUGUGAAUCGGAAUAGCUUCAGCUAUAUAUGACACUUAGUGUGCAAGACUAAAAUAGUUUCGGCUAUGAAAGGCACUUAGUGUACGAGAUUAUAAUAGCUUCAGCUAUGCUUUGGCACUUAGUGUGCGAGAUAUUGAAUAUUCGACAUUAUCACAAAAAGGUAUGAGUUCAAUAUGAAUUUAUACAGGUAUGUACAUAUAAAGCAUGAAAUCCAAAUAGAAGAAGUUAUGAACUUGUUCAUAAACACUUGAGUGAGUAUGAGGAAAUUUUGUUGGUCACUAUGAUUUAGAUAUUAAUUAGUACGAAUUAAUGAUUUGUAUAUUAUGAACUGUUGAGUAAAUUUAGUAUGAACUUGCUAAGCUAUGAAGCUUACUAUGUGUUAUUUGUUUAUGUUUUAUAGAGAAUCAAAGCUAACUUGGGCUCGGGGAUUAUUGGGAAGCGUCAUUAUACUAUCUAUCAUUUUGUUGGUACUUUUGAAGCUUUGUAUAUAUGGUAUAUGGCAUGUAUAAGCUAGUGUCAUCUUAGUAUGUUUUGAGUUAUGAUUUUAGCCAUAAGAUUUGGCUUGUAAAUGUUGGUGUGUAUGGCUAUUUAAGUUGGCUUGAAUUAUGUGUUUGAUAAAUGUUAUAUGUGAUGAAUAUAAUGCUUUAUGUGUUGGCUUGUUUGGAAUGGUUAUAUGGUUGCUCUUUUGGAUAGUUAUAAGUUGUGGUAUUAUUGCUUGGAAGUUUGCAUAUUUGGAUUGAUUGAGUUGAUGAUAUGGUGUGUUAUGUGUCUUGAAUUAGAGGAUAAGUUGGUGAGUAAAUGCAAUUAUAAGUUAUGUAAGUUUUUGAUGAUUUUGGUAUAUUGAAUUGGUAUGUUUUUUUAUUAUGAUUGCAUAAAUGUAUAUAAAUGAUGUGUAUUAUCAGGUAAUGCUUCGUAACCUUAUUCCGGUGACGGAUACGAGUUAAGGGUGUUACACCGUAUCCUUAUUGUCUUAAGGACUUCUCUUAGUUUGAUCACUUGAAAUCAUUGGUUGAUAUUCUUUUUUCGAUUCUGUUGAAUCAUCGAAAAAUUUAUUUUCAAUGAAUACAACAUCUCUUGUUUCAAUUAUCGUGUUUGACACUAAGUUAAGAAUAGGGUAAGCCUUAAAGUGUUGGGCAUAUCCAACAAAUACACCCUUGACGGCUCUUGGUCCCAACUUCAUUCUCCUUUGGUUGGAAACUCUAUAGUAAGCCAAACACCCCCACAUUUUGAAAUAAUAUAAGUUUGGCAUCUGACCCUUUCAUAACUUAUAUGGAGAUACUUUGAAUUUUCUCGAUGGUAUUCUGUUAAGGAUAUAACACGCAGUCAAUAAUACUUCACCCCAUAGAUUAUAUGGAAGUUUAGUGUUUAACAAUAUCGAGUUAACCAUAUCCAUGAAAGUAUGGUUCUAUCUUUCCGCCAAUCCAUUUUGUUGCGGAGUAUAAGGUGUGGAACACUCAUGUACCACACUUUGUUCCUCAAAAAAUAUAUUAAAUUCAUUUCAAAAAUAUUCACCACCUCUAUCACUAUGAAGCACUUUGAUUUUCUUACUAUACAAAUUCUCAACCUCAUUUUUAAAACGUUUAGACAACAUAUCAAAAAUCUCAUCUUUACUUCUCAUGAGAUACAUAUAAGUAAAUCUAGAGAAGCCGUCUAUAAAAGUGAUAAAAUAUCGUUUUUCACAUCUUGUUAGAAUUCUAUUUAAUUCACAAACAUCCGAAUGGAUUAAAUCUAACACUUGUGAAUUUCUUUCACACUUAUUAGGAAAUAGUUUCUUGGUAAUUUUUUAUUGAAUACAAACUUCAAAUUUAUCCACAAACUCACCAUUACUUAGAUAAUAUAACCAUUCUUUUGCUGUAGUAAAGUUUUAAAAUUAAAAUGAGCUUGACGCGCAUGCCAUAAAGGAUAAGAUUCAACAAUAUAAGCAGAAGAAUUGGCUUUCUUCAUAUCAAUGCUCAACUUGGACAUGCCCUCAUUACAAUAUCCUUUUUCUACAUAUAUAUCACCCUUAAGCAAGACUAACUUAUUGGAUUCCAAGAUAACCUUGAACCUCUUGUUACAUAAAAGACUCGCAGACACUAAAUUCUUUCUCACAUCGGGAAUUGAUCAAGGUCAAUUUCUUCUCGGAUGUGACGUUCAGUUCCAUUGUUCCUUGAUCGAGCACCUUAACCGAUUAAUAGUUACCCAUAAGCACUUCACGGUUUGCCACUAGUUCAUAACUCUUGAAUUUUUGUCAGUCAUUACACACAUGGACAGUAGCUCCGGAGUCGAGCCACCAAUUAUAGGACUUAUCGGUCAUGGCUAUAUUGAGUUUGGUAAUCAUACCAAUCUUCAAACUCUCGAUCUCUUCCAUAACCAUGGCCACUAAGUCUAUGUCCUCCACUAUAUUGGCUUUAGAAGUUGUGGCAUCUUGCUUCUUUUUGAGAAGUUUACAAUCCUUAAUGUAGUGUCAUUUUUUAUUGCAAUUAUAGCAAUUGCGAGAUUUUUCUUCUUGUCUUGCAUGUGUUUCGAGAGUUCUUAGACUCGCUCACAUGGUUCACUUUAGAACUUUAAAGAAGAUUCACCGCGUCACACUUUCGAGUUUCCUUUUCAAUAUGCCAAUGCCUAAGUAUUUACUCCACAUUGAAGUCCUCUGUCAUAUGCAGAAGUUUCUUCCAAUAAUUGUUCCAAGACAAAGGAAACUUCAAUAUGAUAACCCCGACUUGUAACAAUUCUGGAAUAACAACUUUCAAGUCACGAAACCUGCUUACAAGGACUUGUAGUUCAUGAUCAGGAUACUAUCAAGCAUUUUGAAUUCGAAAUACUUCAUCAUUAAAAAUUUAUCAGUACAUUAUCGCUUGGUGUUGUCUUGCUCUUCAAGAGCUUUCCAUAUUUCCACCAAGGAUUGCAUCAACAUGUAAAGAUCAUAUAAUCAGUUAGAUAAGGUGUUGAGGAUGUGUCCAUAAAAUGUGAAAUUCUCUUCCUCACGCUUUUUCUUGAGUUCGGCCACUUUCGUAAUUUCUUCAGGGUUUGUAUUGGGCGUGGGAUCCUCCACUAGUUAUAGGUUUGGAUCCAGAACGUAUACCACAUUCAAGAUGGUAAGAAGGAACAACAUCUUAUCCUUUCAACGAUUGAAGUUUGAGCCAUUAAAUCGAUCAGGUUUCACAAACUCUUGGUUGAUCACUUUGAAUGCGGUGGUAGCCUCCGUCACCAUCUUCAAAAUUGUUCUCUUUUAUUGUUUAGGUAUUUGAGUGGGGAAGAUAGAUCCAGAGACGAUGCUGAAUUAAACAAUAGAUUUCGGGGUACAGAUGAUGCAUUCUAAAUAGAAUAAUUUUCCUCCACACAAAGUUGCUAGAAGGUUAAGACAAAGGUCCUCCUAAGAUACAACAAAGCUUUUUUAUUUCCUUUGGUUAGAAAAAUUGAGGAAUUCCCUAUCUCUUACUCUAAUUCCUAAAACUGGAUUGAUUGUAAUGAUCAUCUUUUAAGCACCAUAGUCCUUCUAUUUAUAUGCACUCAAUGGAUAUAUUGAAGAGCCACAACCCUUCGUAUUAGACAUAGUUCUUAGAAGAAACAUGUCCCAUGAAAAUUAAAUGUAUCUAUUGAAUAAAUCAUCACUUUCUAAUUUCAGUAAGUGCUCAAGAAUAGUGAAUUUGCAAUCUACAAAUUUUCAAUAGUUACCAGGGUAAUUAAUGUAAAUCCUAAGGGAUAAAGAUGUAUAGAGUUCAAAUCUCUUAGUACUCUCAUCUUGUAGAUACACAUUAAUCUUAACCGUUGAUAUAAAUCGAUUUGUACUGUUGGAUUUGAGGGAGCUCAACUAUAGAUAGAGGUCCCCCUUCAUUUGUAAUCACUUCAUUCUUUCUAAGUUAAUAUAUUGAGAGUAUUUACUCAAACACUUGGUGUACACUCUCUUUCUAUGUCUAGUGUACACUCUCUUUCUGUGUCUUUCUUUAGUUCAUUCGUAGCUUUUUUUACUUUCAGAGUUUGCAUCAGAUUUGCUUCGGUGCCUUAGAGAAAUUCUGCAAGAAUUCUCACUUUUCGAGGGGAAUGUUGACUUAGGUAGAUUUGAAGCGAAGAGAUUGUCUAAGACUGCACGGAUUGUGAGACGAAAGGUGUAUCUCCGUGACACUAGGAAGGUGAUCAUAAAUUCUAAAAAUGACCUCAUAAAAAUACAAAUUUGAUUACUUCUAACAUUUUUUAGCAAUAUUUAUUAUUAACAAACAAGUAAUUUAAUCUAUUUAUUUUUAAUGAUAUUAAUUUGUUUUAAAUAAAAAUAAACUAAUAUCUUUGACUCAGUAAUAUAUGAUUAGAUUUAAAAUAAAAUGUAAAUAUUUUAUUUGUAUUAAAUUAGAAUAUAAUUAAAAUUUGAAUUCAAUAUUUUUUAAAAUAAUUUUAAAUUAAAUAAGUUUUAUGAUUUUGUGGUUAAAAGUAUUGCAAGAAAAUAAUGAAAAUAAACAAAUAAGAAAAAAAUGUAAUUUAUAUGAAAGAUAAAUUUAAACUUUUUGAUCACAUGAAAAAACUUACUUUCACACCAAUAUAUAAAGGAAUCAUAUUCCUAUCAUUGAAAGAAAGUUACAAUGUUAAGAAAGUAAAUAGUUUUUAACAUAUUAAAUAUAUUAAAUUCACGUCUUUUUAGUUGAUUGGUCUUGAAUUUUUAUUGAUAGUGAAUCUCAUAAUCAAAUCUAAAACAAUUUGUUCCCUUAUUUUUAUUUUUUUUAAAUAAGCUUAUGUGUUAAAAUAUCCCUAUAAAAUAAUUUAAAAAAUUAAUUGAUUACAAUUUUUAAUUAAAAUUUAAUUGAUUUUUUAAUAAUUUUAAAAGAACAUUUUUAGCAUUCAAGCUUUAAAACAACACUUUAUACCUUAAUUGAGUAUUUAUUUGUCUCAUGAAUAAUUUAGGUUGAAAUCAUCCUUAUAUAUAAAAUAAUAAAGAAAUUGUUUAAGAAACACUUUGUUAAACAUUUAUUGCAACUAUUUUUUAUUCUUUUUCUUUUUAAAAUUCUCAUUCGGAUGAUAAAACCAAGUUUAAAAAUUCAUUAAUUAGUUCAUAACUUGCACUUUUGAUACGUAUAUCUAAUAGCUUGCACUUUUCAUCCAAAUUAAAAUUUUGUUCAUUUUUCUAUUCUAAUAAAUAAUUAGUUAGUAUUUAGUAUAUUGAGAGUGUUUUUUUUUUAAUUUUUAAUUUUCUUAAUAUUUGAUUAUACUUCUAUAGAAAAUUUGUCAAUCUUAACCUCGUCUCCAUUAAUAGUGUAGAAAAUAAUUUCCUAUAAUCAACUUCUAUCUCAAACUUAUAACUGCUAAGAAUCUGAAAUGAUAUAAUUAUUGAUUUAUUAGAAAAACUUUAAUUAGACUCAAACAAAAGAUAAAAAAAAAAUCAAAUCCAAGUUAAUUUUAAAGGAUGGUAAUUUGAAUUAUGGAUUUAAAAAUAUGUAGAUAUUCAAUUAGUUUUUAUGGAUUUAGAUAAUAGUCGGAUUUAAAUUAUUUAAAAUAAUUAUUUAUUACAUAUUUGAAAAGAGAUACAAAUAAAUACUCCAGAUAUUAUUAUCUAGAUUUGUAUUAGACAUAGAUAUUUGAAUCCACCUUAUAACUUUUAUUUUAUAUAUAAAUAAAAAAAGAUUUUAGCGAAAUUGAAUUCAAUUUUUUACGGAUUUAAAUAUCCUAUUACUUGAAUAAUAAAUAAAUUUACAUAUUAAUUUUAAAAAAAAUACAGAUUCCGAUUCCUAAACAUAAAUGAUUGGAAGUCAAAAUCAAGUGGAGUGAGAUAGAUGGCAAUAAUGAUGGAGUUGCGAGAGACGCGGUUUCCAAAUUUCCAAUUGGGAUUUGAGGUUGUUGGUGUUGAAGUUGAUUAGACCUAAAGGCAAGUUUGUUUGGUUUCGUAAUUUUCCAUAUUUCCGUAUCAGAAUGAUUUGCAUUUGCAUCCCUCCUUUCUACUUUUUGUUUUGACUUCAAUUUAUGCAAAUGCCAUUGCGUAUACAAACUCCUCACAAUACACUUCACAUUUCUAUUAUUAUAUUGCUUAAUUUCUAUUAAUACUCUUGUAUUUUUAAUCAUUCUACUUUUUCAAAGCUAUUAAAUUUAUUAAGUUUUGUUGUCUUUCAAAUUUUAUACGACUAAUGGGGUCUAAAUGAGCCGUGCCCAAUUACUGGUAAGCUUGAGCUCAACUCAAAAUUUGGACAUCUAUUUUUUAAGCUAGAACUAGACUCGAGAUAUUAUCAAGCUUGAUAAUGCUCUAGAAUAACGUAUUUUUAUGUAUUAAUCAUGUGUUUAUUCUGGGCUUGAUCCUACUAAUUUGAGCUAUUUAUGUCUUUUUAUCGAUUAGAGACUGAUUUGGAGGCAAAAGCAAAAUUAAGGGACAAAAGUGCGAAUUUGGAGACACAAUGAGCUGAUAUGCGAUGCAGGAAAAAGAUUAUGCCAAAAGUACAAGCAUGGAAGACACAAGGAAUAAAAACGCAAAACGAAGAGAUUUUAUUUUAUAAGAUUCCAUUUUAUUAGGAUAAUUAAUAUUAAGAUAAUUAUUAGGAUUAUUUAAUUUUAGGAUUUUAUUUUAAUUAUCUUUAUUUAUACUUAAUUAAUUGUAUUUAUCUUUUUAGAAUUUAAGUUAAAUUAGACUAUCUCCCUAGCACAAUAAAUAGUGGGUGAAGUGACUCUAUUGGUGUUUAUCUUUUUCUAUAAACACUUUCCCCCUAAAAGUCUAGGCUUUUGUUUCUUCAUAUUUUCUUUCAAUAAAAUUCCCUUUUUCAUUUUUAUAUUUAUUUUCUUUUCCACCAUUAUCAUGAGCCACUAAAACCUAUCUAGCCGAAAGUUGUCAAUAUUCCCCAAAAAGGGUUCUUGAGGCUUAGAAUCCGUACUUAGCCUUCUCGCCAAGUAUUCAUCGUUUCUUCGCACUACGGGCUGACGCUUCCGUCCAUGGCCCUUAAGAAGUAAGCUUUUCAGCAUAUGCAAAGGCGGCCGCUUUGUAUGUUUUGGAAGGAUUGCAUAGUCGGUUCGUAAUCUUACUGCGUUAGAGGUUGGCGAGCCAAAGAGACGAAAUGGCGUGGGAUUCGCCAUUGAGAAGCGUUAUUCUAGCAUAGAUUAUUAGCUAGAGUCAGGUUCCCUAAAAAUUGUAAGUCUAAUCUUUGGAGCUAGUGGUCGUAGGCGUCCUCUUCCACUAUAAUUGGCUUACUUGAGUUGAGAAGGGUUAUUUAAAAGCCGAGGAUUGAACCCAAGGCGAAAUGAGACAACUGGAGGCUGGAAUCUACCAAUAAGAAUUUCUUUUCCUUUAACUCUCUUUAUUAUUUUUAUUAAUUUCAUAAUCACAAUUUCAGUCAACUUUAGAUUCUGUUUUUUCAUUUUUUCCAAAUCAAAUCUUUAAUUCUGUUAUUUUUAUUUUCCCUCUGUCACGCAGGUUUUCUUGGGCACGAUUCUGCCCAGGAUUUCGAGAAACAAGCAUUCGUAUAAUCCGGUCCCUGAGGAUUUGACCCUACUUCCCAUUUACUAUUCUUUUUCAUUAUUUCUACUAUUUUAUAGGGAAUAGGAUAUUUUUGGUGCUCUCAACGACCGCAUCAAAGCUACUUGAGCUUGAGCCCGAUUAAUCUCGUUUAUCGAUUUUCAUACUCAUGCUCAAACCAGAGCUUUGUUUAAUAAUUAACUUUAGCUUUAAUAAUAUAAAUUAAGGGUCAUAACAUAAUUUAAUAAUAUAAAAUAAUAAAAAUAUAUAUUAAAAACGAAAAGCUUGAUAAGACUCAUGAACCAUUCGAGCCAAAUAUUACUAAGCGUGAUUUAUGCUCAAGCUUGGCUCAAUAAUUAUUGAACUUGAAUAGGAUGUGAACACAAGUGUCUUAUUUACACCUCUAGCAUCAAAUACAUUAUCACGUGUGCAAUGAUACAUUGGCUUAUUAUUUCCAGAUAUUACUUAAAAAAAGUUAGAUAAUGAAUUUAAUGGUUGUUGUUCGCAUCGAAAUUGGAAUUUCUAUAUUUAAAAAAUGUAAAGACUAUGAGUGAUCAAAUUGGAGAGCAUGGACUAAAUUUGUACUUAACUUAUACUACAUUACUAAUAAUAGAAUUCAAUCAAAUGGAUUUAAUUACUACUGUUUAGAUCAAUACUAAAAUUUAAAAAUACAAAUAUAUAAAGACUAAAGUGAACCAAAUUAAAAUAUAUAGACUAAAGCUACAACUUUCACUAGGGACUAAAAGAAGAAAUCGACCUCUCUUAGCAUAUGGAUUAAUUUGGUUUCUUGGAGAUAAUUUCAGGUUUUUUUCUUUAUCAAAACGAAAUUUGAAUUGCUUAAACAAAUUAAAUUAGAUAAAGCUUUUAGCAACAUACUCACGUUUUACAAUCGUAUUGAUUUGGAUUACUAUUUAGGUUAGAUCAAAAUAAAUAAAUAAAUUCCCCGACAAAUCAUCCAUUCUAUGCUUCAAUUGUCAAGAAAUAAACAUUAUUCAAGACAAAUUAUCCAUUAUAUGCUUCAAUUGUCAACAGAAACAUUGAAAACCUCAAGAAAUAAACUUGGAGCUGUGGGGUCUUAUUGAAUGAGGACAAUAUGGAUGGAGACCCGUAUUAACACAUAGCUUUAAGGUCUCCACGUAGAAUUAGAAAUGAUUAAACUUAAUAAAUACAUAAUUAAAUUAGGUCUAGUCAUCCACUUAGAAAAGCAUUAUGAGUUGAAAAUGUAUCAAAUGGUAGUAGGGAGAUCCCAUAGCCAUGAUGAUGACCACGACACAUGCAACCGCGUACGUUGCCGAGAAACCUCCAGCAAUUGUGCGUGUCCUAGGGGGAUUUGAUCCAAUGUGGAAUUAGUUUUUGCUCUCCAUUUUUGACAAAAGUGAACUCAUGAUUUUCAUUUAUAAUUUAGUAUUAGGAGUAUUUUCAGAUUUCAUCGAUUUGCAUCUAAAUCAAUACAAUUAAAUUAAAUUAAAAAAAUUGAUUCAAUCAAUUAAAUUGAAUUCUUUUUAAUUUUUAAUAAUUUAUUUAAUUUUAAUUGAAUAAAUCGAUUGAACCAAAAAUUAGUGGUCUAAUCAAUUUUACUAUUAAUUAAGUUCAAGAAACAAUGCUUAUAAGUUGUUAAAAUAAGUAACAUUUUAAAUUAUUUUAAUAUUUUAAGCUCUCUCUCACGUGCAAUUGUUAAGAUAAAAUGUAAUUUUGGAGGUAUAAUUAAUUGGAGUUAGAGAUGUCAAAAGGAUGCGCAAAUUAUUAUUUUUUUUUGCUUAAUUCAUCUGUCACAAUUUGUUGUGACAAAAUUAGGUUCUUUCUUACAUUUAAUGAGUUUGUUUUCGAGUAAUUUGAUUAUAUUUUUAUUAAUUUUUCGUUUUAGCAUUUUAUGUUCAAUUUCAAUAAAACAAGUAUUUUUACAUAUUUUUAGUUGUUUUAAUGACUCAUUACGCCAAUCCAAACACUAAUGGGUUAAUUAAGUGCACAAGACAUUAUUUCAAGCCAAAGAAUCUGAAGAACAACUCCUACAUCGUGACACCAACAUCCCAUGUCGUGACACCCAACUUUGACAUUAAACAAGUCUCAUUCGAUGACAAAUGUCGCGAUACUAAUUCGAUGAGGGUCAAAUUACAAACUGAAGGUAUUUUCAUCUGCACAGUUCGUCCUAACUCAUUUAAUCAUUUGCAUUUGACCUAUAUGGUCAUAAAACACCAAAACUAUAAAUAGAAAAGUUUAAGGUUUAAUUGGGGGGCUUAUUUCCUUAAUUAAUUUUUAGUUUUCUAGGUUUAGGUUUUGUUUAAUUCAGAAUUUGUUGUUCACUUCUAUUUCAAUUCGAGUUUUAUUUUCUUCAUCAAUCCUUAGUUUUUCUUUUGGGUUGGCUUUCAAUCGUUGUUUUCUCAACAACUGUAGCAGUUCGCUUUUUAGUAGUGUCGGAAACAGUGGUUUUAAUGUCACAAAUCUGAAAAGUAAGUUCGUAAAUAUUUUUAUUUAAUAUUUACGAGUAAAAUAUGGUUUUUAAAAUGUUUUUGAUAUGGUAAUUAUGUUAUAUAUAUGAUUAAUUAAGUUCAAGUGGUAAGACCCUAAAGUCAAGUGGUUUUAGAAAAUGAGGUAUCGGGACCUCGUUUCCAUAAACUGAGUCGUAAAUAUUUUUAUAAAUAUUUACGGGGUAUCAUUAAGUUUUUAAUAAAGUUUCGUUAAGAAAUUUUAAUGUUUCGAUAGUUAAUUAAUUAAAAAGAACUAAACUGAAAAAAGUGUAAAUUUUAGUGAAUCUUGAAUUUUCAUUGAUUUGAUAGUUAAUUUGUAAUAAAAAAAAGGGCUUAAAUAAUAAUUAUCCCAUUUGUAUAUUAAUGACCAUAAUGGGUUUUUAAAUUGUGGUUUUAAAAGGUUUUAAUUAAGGGUAAUUGUGUAAUUUAGUAAAUAAAUUAAAGUUUAAUAAAUCAAAAGCCAAAUUCAUCAUCUUUUUCAUUAUCUUGCCGAACACCUAAGGCAUGUCACCAUUUUUGGAAGCUUCACAUUCGGCCAGGAUAGGAAGCCUGCAUGUAAGUCCGUUUUAAUUUCGUUUCUUGUAAUUGUUAUGUUUUUUAGAUCAUUGUAACUAAAUCUAGCUAGUUCGUACCUCCGUUUUUUAUUCUAUUACAAAUUUUGAAUGUUUCCAUUGAUGAAUCUUUAUGAGUUUAGAUGUUAAUGGAUGAAUUUGAAGUAUUAGUUGUUAUUUAAAAGUAUUUUGUUAAGUGAUUUUAAUGAAUUUGUCAAUUAGAGAUUAAAUUGUUAAAAUAGUAAAAAUAUAAGGAUUUAUUGUGAAAUUGUUACAUAAAUGGGCUGAAUUGGAUGCCAUCAAUAUUGAUCUAUUAUGAAUUUGCAAUAAAAAUGGCUAAUUUGCAUGUUUUAGGCUCAGGACUAAAUUGAAUAAAAAUAAAAGUUGAGGGUAAUUUUGUAAAAAUUUCAAAAAUGACUAAAUUGAAUAAAAUAAAUUUUUUUACUAUCUAAAUUAAUAAAUUGAAUAAAUUUAUUAAUUUAGAUAAAGACCGAGUGGAAAAUCCAUGAAAAUAAAAAAUUACCAAAAGCCCUUGUACUUUGAUAUUUCUGCAUUUAACUAAGUAAGUUCGUUAUAUGAUUAUCCUUAAUUGUAUUGAAUAUUUCAUACUAUUUCACUAUUUGUUAAAUCUUAAAUGCCAUUUAGCUAUAUUUUAAGAAAUUGAAAUGUAACGUUAAUUCGGGCUUUGUUCCGAUGAAUAUUUGGGAUAUGUGCAUAGUAGGCUUUGUGCUGGUGUAAUUGUAUCAAGCCCCGAGCCUAGCAGGCUCUGUUUUGGUGGGCUAUAUAGAUAACUAGUACGAUAAAUAUUGUUUCAAUUAUCCGAUGUUGUUUUAUUUGGUUUUACAGGCAUGAAAAAGGAAAAGUAAGGUAUGUGCUUCAAAUGAACUAUGUCAUGAAAUUUAUGAAAAGGACUGAAACGGUAAGUUUAUAAUUGGGAUGUAAAUAUAAUGAUUUAUAACCUUAUGAAAAGAUUAAUAAUUAUGUAUUCGACUUAUAAAUCCCAAUAUGUUAUAUAUGAAAAGUAUAUGUGAUCUUAUUGAAUAUACUCAAUUUGUGAGUUGAAUGGUGUUCAAUAGGUUUAUACUAAGUUUAAAGUAUGAGUGUUGAAUCAUGUUUAAUCUAAGUAUUAUACUAUUGAAGUGAUAAGUUAUGUUUCAUGUUUUACGAGCUUAUUAAGCAUUCAUUGCUUACGUAGCUGUCUUUCUCUUACCUUAUAGAUUAUCAGAAGCUUGAGCGGGUAAGAAGCUCGUCGGAUAUUCGAUGCCAAUUUGAAUGAAAGAAAACGAUAUGUUAAUGUAUGUAUGUAAAUGGUAUAAGGUUGAAAUGCUUGAAAUAAUGCAAAUGGUAUUAUAUGUUAAGUUGUUGUGCACUGAUGUUUUAAACAUGUUGUAAAAACAAUAGGUAACAUCGCGAUAACAUACCUCCAACGUCGCAACGACACUCACUUUUUGUGUAAGUUGCAACGUGAUACCUUCAAAGUUGGGACGCCAACCCGAUAAUUUUGAAAAUAUUAUAUUUUAUUCCUCAAACGACCUUGGGUUAUCGAAAGAGCUUUCGAAAGCUCGUUUAAAUCCAAGAUAUGAUUAUAUAACAUGUUGUAAUUAUGUAUUGAACUUAAUAGCAUGAAUAAAUUGUUUAAUUAAUUUUCAAAUGAGAUCAUAGUUACUCUGAUAAUGAAUGUGACAUCCUGUAGCUCAAACCUAACAAUCGGGUCAAGUACGAGGUGUUACAGAACGGAUGUAUCUUAAAAAGAUUAAAGAUAUCCUAUGAGGGCAACACACUUAUGAUAAGGUCAUUGGUCGAGCAUUGAUUGAGUAGUUUUCGUAAUGGUAUGUAAUUAGGGAGAGCUCAGUCACAAUACUAUAGUAGAAUGACUUCGUGACUAAAUAACUUUAUAAUUAACAGGCGAAAAGUUGGAUCUUAAUAAUAAAUUAUUUGAGCUCUAAUUAUAUAUAUCCAAUUGGUCCCUCUACUAGCUUGUUGAGACCAAAAAUGAAUUGCAUGUAGAACUAAAUGAAUAGAAAUGGACGAAAAUUAUAAAGUUUGAGAAAUGGGUCACAUUCGCAAAUGAAUGUGUUUUCUCACUGAGUAUAGAAAUGACUUAAUAAUUAAUUAAAGUUUUUGAAUUAUUAUUUAAUUAAAUAAUUGAAGUUCAAAAAUGAAAUUAAAUUAAUUAGUCAUUGUGAAUCCAUUAAAUAUGGAAAUUAAAUAUAUUUUCUCAUAUAUUGACAAAGUUGUUGUGACUUUAACAUAAUUAGAAUUGAGUUGAGAAAUUUAUUUAAUUAGAAAUUUAUUUAAUUAAAUUAAAUAAAUAAUAUUGAUUUAAGGAAAUAUAAAAACAUGUAUUGAGUUGGAUUAAAAGACAAAGAAGCACAUAUAAUUGGACCCAAUACACAAGAGGCCCAAAUUCUCCUCUAUUACAUAUGAGGGGUGGCAACCCUAGUACAUUUAACUAGGGUGUGUCAUCCAUCUCUUCUAGUUCAACUAGAAAAUUGGUUUUUCUAUUAAAGAAAUAUUAUGUGUUUUACUAAUUCAACCAAGAUUCUUUUUUUCUUUCCAUAUAAAUAGGUGACACAUGUAUAGUUAUACACAACAGAAGUUACACAUAAUUUCUAGAUAUUAUUAUUCUGCCAAAAAGUAAAGAUAAUUUAUUUUCUAAGCAUAAGUUCUAUUUUUUGUGAAACACAAUUCUAUCAGUUUCAAUUGAGAGAAAAUUAAUUUCCUACUGAAAGUAAUAAAUUGUUUUUGGUUCUCUAUUUCGCCUGUGAUUUUGCAAGCCUAUACUCAAAGUAAUUCAUGGUAUAAUAAUAGUAAAGAAGGUCGUUUGAUUAAAAGUUGAGAAUGUCCAGGAUCCAUCUCGCACAAAUCACAAGUAUUUUUCAAGAAAAAAAUUAUUGUUAUAAACAUCACAAAUCAGCUCAAUUUUAAAAUUUUUAAUUUUUUGCUGUGAUUGAAAAUCGUUUUUGUAAACCGGAUUUUUCCAACAACAUCAUCAAUAGACAUAAUAAAAGUCUUCAUACGAACUUUCUAGUAGGCAUAAUUAGGCAUAAUAGACACUGAAUUUCCUUCAUUUAUUUGUUCCAUAUCUGUAAAUACUCAACCAGAACGUCUUCAAAUACCUUAUUAAGCUGAGCUCUGAUACCAAUUGAAACAAAAUUUGGUACGAGUCGCAAGGCCCAAAAUUAGGCCCAUGAACAUGAUAGGCUCAAAUUUCCUCAAGACCAACAACGAGGUCGAAGGCCAAGCAAAUCCAAGUAAGAUUGAAUGGGACCAUCCAAGACUUUGUUACCAAUGCCCUAGAUGUGCAUAUGACCGGAAAAGAAAAUCAAGAAACCGAAUCUUGGUCCAAUUUUGUUGUUUCAAACAAUUUCAAGAAUCAAGAAAAUCAAGAUUUCAAAUCUUAGAAAUCUUGGUCCAAGAAAUUGAAUCUUGCAGCCAAGGUGCAUUAGAUUUCAUGUACGAGCUUGAAUGAGUCAAUUUCGAGAGCAAACAUAUCACAAGACCAAGUUCUUGAAAAAAAUGGCUCAUUAAGAUAUCUACAAGCCCAUCCUGAAGUUUGGAAAGUAAUUUAAUUUAAUAUCAGGAUAAAUUAUCAAAGUGGCCCAAAUUGUAAAAUAUUUAAACUAUAAGUCCAAUUUUAUUUUAAUAGGUGGAUCAUCAUGUAAGAAUUCAGCCCAGUGAGCCCAAUUAAUUCCUUUGGCUGAAUUCCCAUUAAAAGUUCAUACUUAGAAUUUUUUUAUUUUUUUUAUUUGAUGAGUUGUCAUGUUAGUUAUUCCAUUAGAGUUAGGAAAACUUAUUUUGGGGCUUAUAAGUAACAUGGACGUCCACCCUUAUAGAUGAACAAUUGAUUUCUGUUUUUUUUUAGUUAACAAUAUGUAACGCCCCGUACCCUAGACCAUUGCCGGAGUCGAACACGAGGUGUUAACGGACUUAAUUCAUUUACUUACACAGUUCAUUUUAAAAAUUUCUAGACAAGCUGGCUAACUGCAUCACGGUCACUUUAAAAAUCAUAUCUUGAGUUCCAAAACUUGAAAACCGAUUCCGUAAAUUUUUCCUGAAACUAGACUCAUAUAUCCAUAUACAAAUUUUUUUCUAGAAUUUUUGGUCGGGCCAAUUAGUACACUUUAUUAGUUAAAUUCUCCUCUGUUUCAGGGUUCGACUACUCUGACCUUCAUGAAUUACGACUUAGAUAUCUCCCUGUACAGAGCUUCAAUACUUAUUCCGUUUGUUUCUAAUGAAACUAGACUCAAAAAGGAAUCUGUACAUAUAAAUUAUGAUUUCUAAUUGUAUCUGGUUAAUUUAUGGUAAAUUUUCAAAAUCAGAACAGGGGAUCCAGAAAACGUUCUGGCCCGAUUUCACGAAAAUUUAAACAUCUCAUAAAAUACGGCUCAUAUGGUCGUUUCGUUUCUUUCAUAUGAAAAUAGACUCAUCAAGAUUCGAUUACAUAAUUUAUUCACUUUUAAUUCCAUUCCUACUAUUUUUAGUGAUUUUUCAAAUUCACAUCACUACUGCUGUCAGCAUCUAUUUUAAGGUAAAUUUUACCUAUUUCAUAAUUUUCCAUGAAUCAUUUAGUAAAUUGACAUACAUUAUUUUCAAGUAUAAUCACGAUUAGCCAUGACGUACGUAGCACCAAUAGGACCAUGAUUGGCCAUUCCAAUGGCUAAUCAUUACCAAACAUUUCCACACCACUUAAUAACCAUAUCAUAAGACCAUAUAUAUACAAAAUGACCAUAAUGUUAUACUCAAAAUAAACAAGUCAUUUUCGCAUGGCUAUACGAAUAUACAUUACCAAAAGAUACUUAAUUAAAAACAAGGGUCAGCCCUAUACAUGCCAUUAUCAAGUUCAACUGAAGAGUACCAAAAAGUGGCUUAGAUAGUGUGGAUGACUUCGACUUUGACACUCCCGAGUCCGAUAGUUGACGAACAAAAUCUAUAAAACAGAGAAUUAAAGCAAAAGAAUAAGCAUUUCGAUGCUUAGUAAGUUUUAAGUAAUGAAAUCAUUUAAAAGAAUGGCAUAAUAAUAUCAAGUUUGUUUGUUUCAUCCCUUGGCCGAAUAGAAACAUAACUGAGAUAUCACUUUUAUCAUUAAUAUCACAAAGGUGAAACCAAUUUAUCCAGCUAAAUCCAAUCCAUAACCGAAUGCGCUCAUCUCAAAUGUCCAUGUCAAUUUCAUGCAUAUACACAUACAUUUCAUAACUAUGACAUUGAACUCUCUAAUUCGGAACUCAUACAUCAUAAUCAGAUCAUAAACGUUUGGAUGAUUUAAAUAAUGUGCUAAGCAUUCCCAUCAAAUUUCAAAGUCAUAAUUGAAGUAUAUUCAUAUUCUCAACAAGAGUAAAUUACUUACCUGGUUAUCUUACGGCAAGUAGCACAUUUGUUUAAAUAUUGUUUCAACACAUAUUAUAUGAUUUCUUGUACGAAUACUUAUGGGUUUUCAACCCAAAAUAAUGCCAAAACAGACGCAUUUCAGAACCAAACUCGAUUCUUAGCGCUGGCUCAAAAGCCCUUCGAAACCAAGCUCAGAAUAUGCCCCUGGCUUGAAGGCCCUUCGAAACUGAGUUCGGUCAUGACACUGGUUCGAAAGUCCUUCGGAACUAAGUCCGGUUAUAUCACUGGCUUAAAAGCCCUUCAGAACUAAGUCCGAUUAUAUCACUGGCUUAAAAGCCCUUCGGAACUAAGUCCGGAUUUUAAAUCCCGAUUUAACAUUCACUCAUAUAAUCAUAUAUAUAUAUAACACAUUUGGAUAUCACUCCUAAUCCUCGAAUACAAUUACAACAUGUUUACCAACCAUGCAUCAUUCGGUUUAUUAGUCCUAAACAAAUAAAAUGAUCUCGUUUCGGUAAUCCACAAGAUUUCUAUGACCAUUCAGCUGUGGUAAACACUCUACUUAUUUACUUCGUCAUGUAAUUCGAGUAGAACCAUUAGGUCACAAAUUAUUCAUUAUGUCCCUAAAUAAAAAUGAUUGCUUUAGCAAACCAUAAGCUAAGUUCCAUUACUUAAAGACUUACCUCGGAUAUUUUUGAACAGUAGCGGAUAGGCUAUUCAAUUGCUUUCUCCUUUCCCUUAUCAAAUCUAGAUCCUCUUUGCUCUUGAGCUUAAUUUAAAACAAUUGAAUUCAUUUAAUUUCAAAUCAAAUAGGCGAUUUAAUAUAAUACAUGUAUAUUAUAAGGUUGAGGUACAUAUGACUUAAUGGUUAACUAUCAAACACCAUACGCAUAUAUAUAUUCUCUAGUCAUGCACAACCCAACAUCUUACUUAGGCAUUAACAACUUUAUAGAUAUAUGCAUAUCUAUGUUAAGGCCGAAUAUAUAUUUAACACAUUCUACAAAUAUGGUUAUUUAUAAUGACUAAACACCAUUUUAUCUCAAGUUAUACUUAUAAGCACAUCCAUCCAAAUACAUUUGUACUUAAACAUCAUUCCGACCUAACACUCAUAUUACAUCUAUAAAACUACAAGCCGAAUAUACCUAUACUUACAUCACUUAAACAUCAACCCUCAAUUUCUUUGACAAAGCACAUUUCCGAAAAUGAUAAGGCAAUAUAACAGCCUUAAUCCAACUUAUAAUUCAUACAUAUCACAUUCCAAGCAUUCACUCUAUUCUAUCUCUUAAAAUACAAACAUUACUCAAUAACUUCCUAGUUCAAAUUCGGCAAUUACACCCAUUCACUAGAUGAUUUAUUAUUAUUAUUGUUCAUUUAUUCAAACUACUUACAAUUACCUUAAACUAUCACAAUUAACAACCAUUUGUAACUUAUUCAUUAAACAUGAAAGCAACCGUAUAUCUCUUCCAUUUUCUACCAUGGCCGAAUGCUCAAGACACCACACCAUUCCAAAUUGGUCAUGGGUUAAGCAAAGAACUUAAUGACUAAUUCAAAAAUGUUAAAAAUCCAAGAAUCAUCAUUGAACUUACAUUAAUUUAGGUAACAACCAUAGCCGAGUUUCUCAAAGCUUUUUCUCUUCUAGUUACGGCAAUGAGGAGCAAAGAUGGAGAAACUUUGGUUUCUCCUUCCACUAAUCAACAUUUUAUUACUAUUCUUUAUUCAAUAUUCAUUUUAAAUGUUAAAAUGUUAGUAAAUAAUACUUAUAAUAGGCUUUAAUUAUGGUCAUGGCCGGCCACUAACACAACUAAAGGAUUAAUUGACAUGCAAGUACAUUGUUUUUACCUCAUACACAAUUUGAUCACAUUAACAUUUGUCUAAUACAUUUCUAAAUUUUCUCAUAUAAAUCCUAAUUAAUAAAAUUCACAUGCAAUUAACAAAAUUUAAGCAUGAAAUUUUUCACACAUUCAUAUUUACAUAAAACAAACAUAGAAUAUGACAGUUAAUUAUUUUUAUGACUCGGUUUUGUGGUCCCUAAACCACUUUCCGACUAGGGUCGAAUUAGGGCUGUCACACAAUAAUUCUCUUUAAGUUUUUCUUCAACUCUUAAGUUUACUUUAAAAGUUGUUUUAACAAUAUUUCAGGUUGUGGGAAUUAUCUUCAAGCCUUUUCUUGCCAAGAUUUUUUUCUUAUAAGGGGAACUAAAGCUAUUAAAAGGAGUUGUGGAUUCUUAAUAUUUCCAAGGCUUCUUAGGACGUCAUCUUCUCUUUUCUAGCCUUAAUUUAUCGUUUCUUGUUUACUUUAAUUUAGUUCUUGUUGUUUUAGCUUACUGGUUUUAUUGAUUUUCGUUCUAGCUUAAAAUUUCUUAAAGAGAGACGUUCUCCUAUCUUGUUCCAUCAAAAAACAUAUCAAAAUUAGGAGUUUUAAUCUUUUCUUGUUGUUUCAAAUAUUCUUGCACAAAACAGGUUGCUUUUGUCUCCAAAAUCACUUCUAACAAAUCUAUUUUGUGUUUUGUUUUCCAGAUCUAGUUGGGACAUUUUCUUGAGGUUUAAGGACGAUUUCUUUCCAUCCAAGAAACCCGAAUUCAUUCUUUAUUAGACUCUUACCAACUGGUUCAUCUUUCUUUUGUUUUAAUCUCAUGUGACUCUCAUUUGUGGCAACUAAUCUAUUUUCAUUGUUUCUCGUUUCAUCUUACAUUCGAUCUAGGUUAAAUUUGUAACUUAGACAAGCUACGAUUCUAUUCCGCAUGCAUGCCUUAUCUGGCUUUAUCAAAAUUAGUAAGCAGUAACGAAACAUUGACUUUAAUAAAUUUCAUUUCAAUGUGUGAUAGGACAAAAACCAUAAACUAAUGAAAAAAUAAAAGCAAUAUAUGGAAAAGAAAACACCAAAACCAAACUUUGUUAACUUAGUUUAGACAUAAAGGUCAUACGUUUGGUAGAGCCUCACUCAGAGUAUAAUCUUAUUCAAAUAACCAAUUAGAAUACGUCUCUAUCAGUUAAAGCCCCAAAACUCCUCUACAAGUAGAAUCCAUGCGAUCCUAAUAGAGAACCAAUAAACAACUGACAUACACUCAGUAUCAUUCUUUGUUUAGAAUGCAAGAAUUCUUAAUACAAAUAAAACACAAAAAUCUCAUAACAAAAACAAAUAAAAGCUAUAAACAAGUACUUGAGCAAGAAUGAUCCAAUCUUUUAGGAUAACAAAUCGCAUUCCUCGCCAAGUGUAUGAUCCUUCUAUAUAUAGAUCCAAUCAAAAAGAAAAAAUAAACUUGAUUAGCCUUGCUAAACAGCUGAUAAGUCUUCUAAACCCAAGCUUCAAAUUUACCGGCAAUCGAUAAUGAUAAAGCAAUGACUCUUAGCCAUAAAGUUACUCAUGAUCAAUAAUCCAUUCGGUUAAAGAUAUUUUUAAUUUAAAUUAAAUUAAAUUAAAUUUAAGGAUAAAUGAAAAAUAUUAUUUUAAUUAAAAUUUCAAUGAGAUUUUUAACUUUAAAUUAAAUAUUUAAGUUAACAUAUUCAAAUUCAAAUUUUAAAAUAAAAAUAUUAACUUUAAAAUUGUGUUAUGGAUUGUUAUUAAAAUUAAAAUAUUAUUUAAAAUUAAUAUUAAUAUUGGUUUAAGGGUAUAAAAAACCCUUAAACUUAAAAAAAAAAUUAAAUUCCUGCUUUUUUUUCUUUCUUUAUUUUUUUUUUUUGCACUCAUUGGCUACUUGAACCGUCAAAAUGCUUUAAAAAAAGCUUUUUGACCGUCAAAUUUAACAACAUCUUUUUUUUUCUUUUUUUCUUUUUUAGUUAAUGCUUCCACGUGUAUCAUGCAUUUAUUUUGACACGUGGCAGAAAAUGAUAAAAAUUAUAAAAAUAUUUAAAUUUUAUUAAAAAUUAUAAAUUUAUUUAAAAUUAUAUAAAAAAAUAUAAAAAAAUAUUAAAAUUAUAUAAAAUUUAAUAUAAAAUAUAAAUAUAAAGAGAAACAUAAAAUUGUUUCCUUAUAAAUGUACUUUACUACAUUUUAUAAAUAAUUAAAUAUUUAAAAUUUUAAUAUUAAAAAUAAAACCAUCCCUUCUUUAGUGGCCUCUAUGGUUGCUAUGGUAAAAAGACGACUCAAAAAUCUUAUCUUGUCAUCGUAUUUAUUCCCAACAUAGCUGAAUUAUGUUGGGCGUGGGUCCCACUAUGUGGGGAACCCUUACACUGGUCAACCCAACUUGAAAGGGGUUUUUAUUUCUUUUGUUUGGUUACAAAAAGGAAAACUUCUGCCACAUAUUUAUUACCCUUUUUUGGAUUUGACAAAAAGCCAUUCUUUUUGGCUUUUACGUGUGGAUGUGGGCAGCCAUUUAUUGAGAUCCAAAAAUCAAAUUUUGAAACAGAAAGAUUGAAGCUUGUCAAAAAAAAUACAAAAGAGGAGAAAUCAGUUUUUUCAAGUUUGGUGCAACAGUGAUCAACUCUUCGAUCAAAGGUCCAUCCAUAGUUUGAUUGAGCUGAUUUUUGGACAACAGCUAGGCGAUAAAGUGUUCUUGACCUUGGAUGGUCGGAUUUUUCAUUCGAGCCUUGUAGCGUCGGAAAUACCCAUUUUUCAGCAGCUGUAUUUUUGGUGAUGUUCUCCCAUUUUUCUCUCUUUUGCUAAAGAUUACAUAUUGUUAGCCUUGUUGGAGUUGAAUGUUUGUUGUAGGCUUGAUAUUGUGAUCUUGCAGUUGAACAUUUGAUGAUAGUGGAGCUUUUGAUCGGACUCUAAAGUCCCGUAGUUUUUACCCUUGAUUUAGAGGGUUUUUUACAUAAAAAUACCGGUGUCUCUAUUUAUUUAUUUUUGUUGUGGUUGCAUUGGUUGAUUAAGGUUGCUAGAGAACAUAUUUUGUGCUAUUGUGUUUGCCAUAAUCUUUUUUACAGGAGUUAUAAGGAGAGAAAGAACACCGAUUGUGCUUUGCUUUGUUUCGGUUGUUCGGUUUCUUCCCAACAAACUGGUAUCAGAGCCAGGUUAUUGUGUCAGAUAAUUAUGGAAAUCAAUACGAGCAAGAUGAUUAUGUUGAAUGGCACAAAUUAUCAACUUUAGCAUAAUAAAAUGAAGGACUUGUUGUUUGUGAAGGCUUUGCAUCUUCUGGUCUUUGCUACUCAAAAACCCGAUUCGAAAAAUGAUGAAGAAUGGGAAUUUGAGCAUCAAUAAGUGUGUGGCUUUAUUCGGCAAUUUUUUGAAGAAAAUGUUUACAACCACAUUGAUCAGGAGACACAUGCUCGAACAUUGUGGGAGAAGCUUGAAAGCUUGUACGCUUCGAGGUCGAGCAAUAACAAGUUGUUUUUACUGAAGAAAAUGAUGGCAUUGAAAUACAAAGAAGGAACGUCUAUAGCUGACCAUGUUAGUGGAUUUCAGAGUGUGAUGAAUCAGUUGCUUGGUAUGGGUGUCAAAUGUGAUGAAUUAGUUACUUGGUAUGGGUGUCAAAUUUGAUGACGCGAUUUUAUGGCUUUGGUUACUUGCUACUCUACCAGACUUUUGGGAGACCUUUAAGGUCUCACUCAUUAAUUCUGUCCCACAGGGUAUUAUUAUUUUGGAUUUGGCUAAGAGUGGUGUGUUGAAUGAAGAGGUUAGAAGAAGAUCUCAGGGUCCUACAUCACAGUCUGAGGUGUUGGUUAUCGAGAACAGGAGGAAGAACAGAAACAAAGAUGGAAAGGGUAGAGAUAAAAGCCGAUGCAAGUCAAGAUCGAGAUACAAAAAUAUUGAGUGCCAUCAUUGUGGUAAGAAAGGCCAUAUCAAGAAACAUUGCUUCAAGUGGAAGAAAGAGAACAAAGAUGGUGGUGAUAAACACAAUCAAAAUGACGAUAAAAAAUCCGAGCAUGUUACUACUGUUACUCGUGAAGAUCUGUUGGUUAUUUAUGAUGAGAAUUUGGUCAACCUAGCAUGCGACGAGACUAGUUGGGUGAUUGAUACUAGUUCAUCACUUCAUGUCACGUCAAGGAAGGAUUUCUUCACAUCUUAUACUCUUGGUGAUUUUGGGGUAUUGAAGAUGGGUAAUGAUGGUUUGGUUUUAGUUAUUGGUAUGGGAGAUGUUAGCUUGGUGAGUAACAAUGGAACAAAGUUAACUCUCAAGUAUGUCAAACAUGCACCGGAUAUCCAUUUGAAUUUGAUUUUUGCAGGAAAGCUUAAUGAUGAGGGAUUCUGUAACACCUUCAGUGAGGGGCAGUGGAAGCUGACUAAAGGCUCAUUGGUUGUGGCUCGAGGAUAGAAGAGCUCAAAUUUAUAUCUUGAUGCAAGCUUCGACUUCUCGAGAGACGGUGAAUGUGACAGUGAAUGACAGCUCAACUGAGUUGUGGCAUAAACGACUCAGUCACAUGAGUGAGAAGGGCUUAACUGUUUAGAAAGAAAGAAUUAACUUUCGGGUUUGAAGAAUGCUACACUGAAGAAUUGUGCUCAUUGUCUAGCAGGAAAGCAGAGAAGAGUUUCAUUUAGAAGCCGUCCUCCUCAUAGAAGAUCAGAGUUGCUAGAGUUGGUCCAUUCAGAUGAUUGUGGUCCGAUAAAAGUAAGGUCACAUGGCGGUGCACUUUAUUUUGUGACUUUCAUUGAUGACUGUUCAAGAAAGCUAUGGGUUUACACUUUGAAGUCUAAAAAUCAAGUCUUUGAGGUGUUUAAAUAGUUUCAAGCAUUAGUUGAAAGGGAAACAGGGAAGAAGUUGAAGUGCAUUCGUACUGAUAAUGGUGGCGAGUACACAGGGUCGUUUCAUGAGUAUUGUCUGCGACAGGGAAUCAGACAGCAAAGAACACCACCAAAGACUCCACAGUUAAAUGGGUUAGUUGAAAGAAUAAAUCGAACAUUGAUUGAGAGAGUCAAAAGUUUGUUGUCAGAUGCAAAGUUGCCAAGAUCAUUUUGGGCUGAAGCUUUGAAUACAAUGACACAUGUGAUAAAUCUAUCUCCUAGUGUUCCUUUGCGAGGUGAUGUGCCAAAUAGAGUUUGAUUUGGUAAAGAUGUGUCAUAUGAUCAUUUACGUGUGUUUGGUUGUAAAGUAUUUGUUCAUGUUCCAAAAGAUAAAAGAUCCAAGUUGGAUGCCAAGACUCGACAAUGCAUUUUUAUUGGUUAUGGUCUAGAUGGUGAGUUUGGUUAUAGACUCUAUGAUCCAGUUCAGAAGAAACUCGUGAGAAGCAGAGAUGUUGUCUUCAUUGAGGAUCAAACCAUUGUUGGCAUUGAUAAGACAGAGAAAGUGGAUUCACAAGAUAGUGGUGACUUGAUCGAUGUGAAUCCAGUUCCAGACUCUUCACCAGAUCCUAUCCAGGAUGAUGUGCAUGGUGAUAUUAGUGAUGACCAUCAGGAUAUAGGUGACUUUGAUACUCCCAUAAAUGAUGUUGUGAAUGAUUAACAACAAACACCUAUAGCUCCACUAGCAGUUCCACUUCGAAGGUCUUUCAGAGAUCGACGAUCUUCUGUCAGGUAUUCUUCUGAUGAAUAUGUUCUUUUGACUAACGAGGGAGAACCUGAAUAUUAUGAAGAGGCUAUGGAGAGUGAAUGCAAAGAUCAGUGGGUUGAAGCGAUGAAAGAUGAACUUCAAUCAUUGCAUGAGAACCAUACCUUUGAGUUGGUGAAACUGCCUAAGGGCAAAAAAGCUUUGAAGAAUCGAUGGGUUUACAGGCUGAAGCAAGAAGAGAAGUCUUCAUCUCCACGAUACACGACUAGAUUGGUCGUCAAGGGCUAUACUCAGAAAAAAGGGGUUGAUUUUGAAGAAAUAUUUUCUCCAGUUGUGAGGAUGUCCUCUAUCAGAACUAUACUGAGUUUGGUAGCUUGUUAUGACUUAGAGGUUGAACAAAUGGAUGUGAAAACUGCUUUUCUUCAUGGUGACUUGGAAGAAGAGCUUUAUAUGGAGCAGUCAGAGGGGUUUGUUGCACAAGAGAAAGAGGACUAUGUGUACAGAUUGAAGAAGAACUUGUAUGGUUUGAAGCAAGCUCCAAGGCAAUGGUACAAGAAGUUUGAGUCUGUUAUGGGGAAACAAGGCUAUAAGAAGACUACUUCUGAUCAUUGUGUGUUUGUUAAGAGAUUCUCUGGUGAUGAUUUUAUAAUUCUUGUACUCUAUGUUGAUGAAAUGCUUAUUGUUGGUCAGAAUGCUUCUAGAAUUGAGAAGUUGAAGCAAGAGUUGAGUAAAUCCUUUACAAUGAAAGAUUUAGGGCCAGCAAAGCAAAUUCUUGGCAUAAGAUUGACACGUGAUAGAAAGGCCAAGAAAUUAUGGUUAUCACAAGAAAGGUACAUUGAGAAAGUACUUCAAAGGUUUAGUAUGGACAAAGCUAAAGCGGUGAAUACUCCCUUUACUACGCACUUCAGAUUGAGUGUUAAGCAUAGUCCUUCCACAGAAAAGGAGAAGGAAAAGAUGCAGAAAAUUCCUUACUCUUCAGCCGUGGGUAGUUUGAUGUAUGCAAUGGCUUGCACGAGACCAAACUUAGCUUAUGCCGUUGGUACAGUUAGUCGGUUCUUUCUAAUCUAGGAAAAGAGCAUUGGAAUGCAGUGAAGUGGAUUAUGAAAUAUCUUUGUGACACUUCCAACAUGAAAAUUUGUUUCGGCAAUGAGAAACCUGUUCUUGUUGGGUAUACAGAUUCAGACAUGGCCGGAGACAUUGACUCAAGGAGAUCUACUUCAGGUUACUUGAUCACUUAUGCAAAAGGAGCUGUGGCAUGGCAAUCAAGAUUGCAAAAGUGUGUUGCAUUGUCCACCACUGAAUCUGAGUUCAUUGCAGCAAUCGAAGCGUGCAAGGAGAUGCUUUGGAUGAAGAAGUUUGUGCAUGAGCUUGGUUUUACUCAGGAGAAGUAUGUCAUGUAUUGUGAUAGCCAGAGUGCUAUUCAUCUUGGUAAGAACUCAACUUUUCAUGCUAGAUCUAAGCAUAUUGAUGUGAGGUACCAUUCGAUACGAGAUGUUCUUGAAGCUAAGCUGUUAGAGCUUGAGAAGAUACACACUAAUGAUAAUGGUGCUGAUAUGUUGACGAAGGCCUUACCAAGAGGAAAGUUUGAAGCAUGUUGUUUGACCUCCGGCAUGGAGGCAUUCCCUACAUAGUUGGAGGGGGAGAUUUAUUAGGUGUGGGUCCCACUAUGUGGGGAACCUUUAUACCAGUCAACCCAACUUAGAAGAGGUUGUUUAUUUAUAUUGUUUGGUUACAAAAAGGAAAGCUUCUGCCACAUAUUUAUUACCUAUUUUUGGAUUUGACAAAAAGCCAUUCCUUUUGGCUUUUACGUGUGGAUAUGGGCAGCUAUUUAUUGAGAGCCAAAAAUCAAAUUUUGAAACAGUAAGAUUGAAGCUUAUAAAAAAAAAAACAAAAGAGGAGAAAUCAGUUUUUUUUCAAGUUAGGUGCAGCAGUGAUCAACUCUUCGAUCGAAGGUCCUUCUGUGGUUCGAUUGAGCUGAUUUUUGGAUAGUAGCUAGGCAAUCAGGUGUUCUUAACUUUGGAUGGUCGGAUUUUUCAUCCGAGCCUUGUAGCGUCGGAAAUACCUAUUUUUCAAAAGCUGUAUUUUUGGUGAUGUUCUCCCAUUUUUCUCUCUUUUGCUAAAGAUUACAUAUUGUUAGCCUUGUUGGAGUAGAAUGCUUUGUCGAAACCAUCCCUUUGAUUUAAAAAUUUUUAAAUUUAAUAAAAAAGGGGGAAGUCGACUUUUGAAAAAUAAAUGCAUGGAGUCGCCACCGAUCUUUUGUUUUGGUGUGAUCAGGUCACCUAAGAAUGUGGUUAUUUUAAUAAAACAUUUUCGGUUUACUAAAACACCGAUUAUGGUCUACGAAAAUUUUAGAAAAUGGGCUCGGGAGUCAGUUACGUAUGAGGAAGGGUUAGCACCCUCACUACGCCCAAAAUUGGUACCAAAUCGAUUAAAUAUUGUCCUUAUGUCUAAAAUUAAAAAUGUUUUUGAAAUGUGGUUCUUUUUUUAAUAACAUUUGAAUAACCCGAGUUGAUUGUCAAAAAUCUUCUUGUUUCGACGUCCGAAAAUUUAUAAUUUGAAAACCACAAAAGGAUGCUUAAUUAUUUAGUCCAACGGAACACCGAAACCCAGCACAGUAGGGCACGAUUCCUCGAAUUUCCAAACAUUGACCAUUGCCUCACCUUAGAAAAUACGAGUGAAAUUCCAAAGAAAUAUCCGAUUGUUUUGAACAAACGAGAGAUUGCAACCAAGUACGACAGGGCACGAUUCUCGAAUUGCCAAACAUCGAACAUAGCCUUUGUUUUAAAGGGUUUUCUUAAGAAACAUGAGUGAAAACCUAAAGGAAUAUUCGAUCAUUUUGAACAAACAAGAAAUCACAACCCAGCACGAUAGGGCAUGAUUUCUGAAUUGUCAAACAUCGAGUAUUGCCUUCGCUUUAGAGGAUUUUUAGAAGACCUGAAUGGAAUCUCGAAGGGAUAUUUGAUUAUUUUGAGCAAACGAGAAAUUACAACCCAACACGUUAGGGCACGAUUCCGCGAAUGGCCAAAUAUCAAACUUUGCCUUCGUUUUAAAGAAUUUUUUAAAAGGCAUGAGUGAAAGUUUGAAGGGAUAUUCGAUUAUUUCGAGCAAACGCGAAAUUGCAACCCAACACGUUAGGGCACUAUUCCGCGAAUUGCCAAAUAUCGAAUCUCGUCUUCUUUUUAAAGAAUUUUUAAAUGAAUACUUGUAAAACUAGCUUAAAACGCAUUAAUUCGAUUUGAAAUAAGACGAAGUUAAUCAUAAAAUUUAGAUUUUGUAAAACCACAUUUCAUAACCCAAGUGGAAAACGAUGAUAUGAGGUAAUAGGCAUAUAUGAGAUACCACGCUCGAUGAAUGAGAAUAUUAAUCAACUAGCGGAGUAAGCAAUUAAAUAUAAUUAACCUAGAAAUUAUAACCUAAUUUCAAUCAUGUAUGAAGAGUAAUUAACAUACUAAUAAGACAAAUGCCAUGCAAGGAAUAUAUAUAUAUGCUAUAAUAUAAAACAACCAACGAAGCAUAUGCAAAACAAAAUGGAAUUUAGAAGUCAAAGUGGUUUAAGGUUAAUAAACUCAUACUAUAUAAGUUGACAAGUUUGAAUAAAAACUAGGAAUAUAUAUAACUAUUGAAAUAAAUAUUAGAAAGUGAAAGUUUGAAUUAAAUUGUAUGUAAAAUGUUCUAGACACAAAUGCAUUUAAAAAUUGACAAUGUACAUAAUAAUUUAAAUAAUGUAUAUAAUAUGAAAGAAUAAUAAAGGUAUAUGACAAGAUAUAAUGCACUAAACAGAUUUACAAAACAUAUAUACAUAAAUAACUUUUAAAAAUAAUUAUUUGUAAAGACAUAGAAAUACCUACAAGCUUAAAUUAAUUUUAUAACAAAUUGUAUAAUGGACUUAAGAACAUGUUUAUAUAUAUAUAAAGAAGACUAUAUGUAUGAAACACAUGGAUUUAAUAAUAUAUAGAUCAAAUGUAGGUAUCAAUAAAUAUACAUAUAUAAAUAAUGAUUACUUAGAAGAUAUAUUACGUAGGACUAUAUAAUGAAAUACAAGAAAAAAUUUGAGAAAUCAUAUGUAUAAAAUAAUAUAAGGUUAAUAAUAUAUAUACGAAAUGAGUUAACUUUAAUAUAUAUAAAAGAUAUGCUCAUAUGUACAAAGUAUAUUUUCUUUUUUAAGGAGUAUCUAGUUAAAAAUGACCAUAUACAUAUAAAAAGAAAAAAUAAUAAUUUAAAUGACAUAUACACCAUAUAUAUAUAAAAGGAUCGAAUAUGAGGAUAAAAUAUAAAUAUGUAUAUAAAAAUAUAUGAAAAUUUUUUAAAUGAAUGAUAAAACGAAUUUAAGGAUACAUCAAGUUUUAAAAUGGGAAAAUAUGUAACAACACAAAACAAGUAGUGUGUAUCUAAAAUAAAUAAUAUAUGAAAACCUUAGAUUAAUAAUAAUUUAAUUUAAAAGCGAAGGAUACGACAAAUUUAAAAUUAAUAUGGAAAAACGGUUAGAACUUAAAUAUGGACAUAAAUUCAUUUAAGUGUCAUAAAUCAAGAAGUAUUUUAAAUAAUCUAUGUAUCAACGUAUAGAUAAAUAUUUUGGCAACAAUUUUAUAAUAGGGUAUUUAAACAAUAUAAUGUAAAAAGAAUUUUAAACAUUCCAAAAUAACAGUCAUUAUAAAAAAAAAUUUAUUAGUAUACUAUUAUAUAUAUAGUAAUUAAAGAAAUAGAAUACAUAAGGUGAAAAUAUAAAGACAAUCUCUAAAAGAAAUCAUACAAAUGUAGCCAAACAAAAUUAUUAACAUGGAUUAAAGCAUACACAUAUUAAAUGUAUUAAAAAUUAAUCAAUGGUACAACUGUAAGACCAAAUUAAUACUGCAAUAAAAUAGGGAGGAUAAUUUACAAAUAAAGUAAUCAUAAUAUGGACCAAUGCUCCAAGCGCAUAAAUGUAUAAGGACUGAAUUUGUAAAUAUCUCGUGCCUACAAUGCUGCAUGGAACCGCGGAUCAAAGUGAAAUAACGCACAAAUUAGCAGGCCAAAUUUUAAAACACAAGGUAGGCAAAUUGGACGCAAAUUGAAGACUGUGCGCAAGGGGAAGGACUUGUUGCAUAAAUAGACCAUUUUAGGCGCAAAAGGCUCCCCCCACCCUUCUUACACGGUACCGUUUCAAAACUUUUAUAAAAGCAAACAAUUCCUCCCAAAAAAAAUGAAACAAUCGGUCCUUUUGAAAUUGAAACCCUAGCCUCUUUUUAAUCCCUCAUUUGGCCGACCAGAACUCACCCCCAAUCGCCACACCAUCAUUGUAAUAGAUGACUAGCAAUGAGUUGGGCUUGAUUUUGAAGAGGAAGAUGCAACUCUGACAACCCGAUUGAUUCAGGUGAGUGUUUCUUUAUCCCAAUCCUUUUUAUUCUAUAUUAAAAUGAGAAAUGAAAAAAAGAAAAUCACCAAAGAACGAUGCAAAUCCUGCUCCAACAAUAAAGAACAAAAGAAGGAUAAUCACCUGCCCAAAAACUCUUUUUUUUUUUUGAUUCUUUUCUCUUAAUUUCUAUACAUGUAUGCGUAAAAAAGGGAUCCCCUCUUUUUGUGUGUGUAUCUUAGUAAAAAAGGAUAAAAACUAGGCGAGAAAAUAAAGAGAAAAAAUAAGAAUCAGAACAGCGAAAAAAUGAACCACCUUCAAAAAUAUAUUUUUUUCUCGAUUGCUUGGUGUCCGUUCGUAGUUUUUACAAAAGGAAAGGUUCUUGGCUUUAUAGCCGAACCAAAUAAAACGACAAAGAAAAAUACAAUUCCUUUUCUUUUUUUAUUGCUCAGCUUGUUUUUUGCUAUUGCUAUUGUGGUUGUCAUUUGCUUGUCUUUAUUUGCAGGUACGGAGGCAACAUGGUGGGGGUAGCUGGCGCGUACGAAGGCUGCUGGUGGUGUCGACGUGGAGGCGCCAUUCAUGGUAGUGCUGGAGGCUACUGUGUUCCUUGCUGCUAGGGUUCUGGAACAUUGAUAAUUUGGGCUUUUCGGGCCUAUUCUAGUAGUUGGGCCAUAAUUUUUGUAAUUGGACUGUAAACUGGGCCGCUAUUGACAUUUGGAUUUUUAUAUUAGUGUAUUUUUCAUUUUUUUUGUGGUUUUUGUUUGAUUUGUAUUUGCACGGGCCCGGGCCAAAAUUGGGCAUUACAUGCUUGUUGUAGGCUUGAUAUUGUGAUCUUGUAGUUGAACAUUUGAUGAUAGUGGAGCUUUUGAUCGAACUCUAAAGUCCUGUGGUUUUUACCCUUAAUUUAGAGGGGUUUUCCACGUAAAAAUACCGGUGUCUCUAUUUAUUUAUUUUUGUUGUGGUUGUAUUGGUUGAUUUAUAGUUGAUUAAGGUUGCUAGAGAACAUAUUUUGUACUAUUGUGCUUGUCAUAAUUUUUUACAGGAGUUAUAGGGAGAGAAAGAACACCGAUUGUGCUUUGCUUUGUUUCGGUUGUUCAAUUUCUUCUCAACAAAUUAGUCUCCCAUAAACCAGGUUUGGGAAGGAGAGGGAAUAAAAAAAAACAGGGCCGGAAACUCAACGGAACAACCGAUCUUCAAAAAUCAGAGCUUAGAACCAUCGGAAGUGACCAGUGGUCGUUGGAAAGUAUAAGGCCAACUAUUGAUGAAGUAUAUUAGUUUUAAAAUAGAUGUAAAAUAUGGGGUUUUACUUGUCACUGAUGGAAUAUAAUUCAGGG